UGCAUCUCAGUUCAAAAACGUCACAUUGUUCCCAACUGUGUACUAUGUAGCAUACGUUCUUAUAAAAGUUCAAUUAUGCUCAAUAAUAGGAUAUGGUUAACAGGGUAAUCUUAUGAGUCCACCCAUAACUACUGUUAUGCCCCAAAAACACUGGAGAUAGAAUUCAUAAGCUAUACCCUGAUAGAUCCAGGACAUGAUUUGUAAGUAACUUGUGUAAUUAGCAUUGAAAUCAAGAAAAAAAGUAAAUUCCUUUCUGAAAAUCAAAACAAACUUGUUAGAAAAAAAAUUAGUACUUUUUUCAAGAUGUUGAAAGGAAAGCAAUUUGAAUUUCAUAUGCCACCACUUGUACAUCACAGGUAAGCAAUGAUUUGAAGGGUGGGGUGGAAGAGCAUGUACAAUACUAAUUUUUGAAUUUAUUGUGCCCAAGAUUUACAUUCUUCGGAAAUAUUUCUCGAAUAAUUAAGUAAUUAAUCAAUUACGUUGGCUACUAAUAUGAAUAAGACUACUUUUUCAAUAUAAAGACCUUUUCAUCCAUAUAUUUUAUGCUUUUUUUUUACUUUAUAAAGAUACGUGUUCCAUUAAAGUACUCAAUAUUCUAUCAAUAAACAACAUUCGUUUAACUCUGACAAAGUAGCCAAAGUUAGAAGUUAGGCACAAAUUUGUCAAAAGUUAAAUUUUGGGAUGAAAGCCACACUUUGUCCUGGCCUCAUUUUCUAGGCGGUGCAAGUUGAUAAUUAGUCUUACAUCAACCUAGUGUAGGCAUACUAAUCAUAAUCGGAAAGAUCAACCUACUGUAGGCAUAAUAAUCAUAAUCGGAAAGAUUAUCUCUUGAAUCCUAUUAAAAUAUGGGAAGGACAUUCUAAUUUCCAUAUAUGUUCAUAAUUGUAGAAACCAAUUUGAAAAUAUCACAUAAGGGAGCCCAAAAACUAGAUAGAUGUUGUAAUUAUAUAAACAGAAAAGUAAUAUGAAGAGAUUGUUCAUACUCACAUUCCAUCUUUGGAGAAAGGAUUUUGAGCAUGAUUACCUCUAAAAUGUCUCCAACAUUGACUGUGAAUGCAUUAGGAAGUGGUACAACAGGAACCCAAGCUCCAGCCUUUUUGAUUUGGAGGCCUUCCACUUCGUUGACUUGAAGUAAUAUGGUAAGCCCAUCAGCAUCAGAGUGGGGGCAAAGGCCCAUCACUAGCUCAGGUUGGGGACAUGGAGGAUAAUAGUUCAUCCUCAUUGAUUGCAUCCCAUCUUCAAAAAGCAUUGCCAUAUCUUCAAGCUUCAUUCCUAAUGCUUUUGUCAUUUUCUCAAGGACCUUGAUGGCAAGGAUUUUCAAUUCCCUUGAGUACUGAUCUAGAGUUUCUCUACAAUGUUAAAAAAAUGUAAAUAAAAAGUAAAGAAUAUCCAAUAUAUAAUAACAAUGCACAAUGCUUUAGAUGUUAACUAAUUUUUUAUGCAUGCAAGGAUGGAUGUUUUAUCAUCAUCUCACGGUGACACGGCUUAUUAAUUUUCCUCAUAAAGACAAUUAAGAAGGUAAGAUUUAAGAAAGGGAUAAUUUCAUAAACCUUCUCUAAGAUUUUAACAAUUUCAUUGCGCUCCCUUAAGGUUUCAAAAAUUACACCUACCUCCCCUAAUUUGACACUUUUGGUAACCAAACCUUAGACUUGGUCAAAAUUUUUAAUGAAUAUCCUAAAAUACCCUCAACUUAUAACAUUUGAAUUACUUUCUAGAACAAUCAUAAUAUAUUUAACACAGAUAUACAAAAAGAGUGUGAAGUUUUUAAUACCAUAUUUAUUAUUUGAUAAGCAAAGAUGACAAUAGUUCUAUCACUAUGAUAAACUACUUUUAAUGGUGAUUUACCAGGGUAUGUAUUUUUUAAUUUGAAAAAGAAAAUACCAUCAUAAUUCUUUUAAAGUUCGUAGAAUUUUGGAUUGGUGGAAUUAUCAUAGCUUGGUAGAAAUAUUGGGCUUUUUUUUUGAGUUAAUGUUGCUUUUGGUACCAAAAAAAUCAGCAAGUAAAAAUUAGAUUGCAUUCAAAGUCAUAAAAAUUGUCACUAGUAAAACAUUUAUGCUGUCAAUGUUUAUAUUUUAUGGUUUUAUUGGCAAAAAUAUAAAAAGGGAGGAUAAGAAUAGAAUAAGGAAAGAAAAAUAAUUAUUAAUAUCAUUCUUUGUAAAAUUAUAUCUAACAAGAGAGUUUUAUUAAAAUGUUAAAACUAAUAUUGUCAUUUUAUGUGGGCAAAGGAGGCAAAUGUUAUUUUUAUAACCUUGAGGGAGCUCAAUGAAAUUAUCAGAAACCUGAGGAGAGGUUUUUGAAAUUGUCCCUUUAAGAAAAGCAAGAGAGGAUAUAUUUUCCUAUACCAGAGAGAGAGAGAGAGAGAGAUGUAAUUUAUUUUUUGUCAAUUGUCAUGAUCUACUCUAUUCAUACUCUAACCUAUUCUAGGGGGAGACCCAACUGAAUCUAUUUGGGAACCGACGGUGAUUGAAUCACUAUCGGAUCAAACUUUUUUACUCUAAUCUAUUUUAGGGGAAGGCUCAACUGAAUUCAUUAAAAAAUCGACCAGAAUUGAAUCACCAUUGAAUCAAACGUACGCACUCAUAUGGAUUUGAGAAAACCACGUAUAGUUGCUAAGUGAUGGGGGUAAGAUUUGAACAUUUAACCUCCCACUCCACCAAGACUUUAAGUCAUUGGGUGGCCAAUAGCCAUAUGAUUAAAAGAAGAGAAAUGUUGGAAAACCAUUAAGAAUGAGUCCAAGGUAAAAAAAAAUAAGAAGAAAAGGCCUAUCAUGUGGAGACUUUAAGAGAGAUAAUGAUCAAAAUAUUCAAUCCUUAGGACACUUUGUGGCUGAUAAGCUGUCUUUUUUUUUUUUUUUUUUUUUUGAAGGUGUGGCUGAUAAGCUGUCUUGAUCAUUACACAUGGAAUUUUAUUGAAGGGAUAACAUUCGAUGUGGCAGAAGGUGGGAUGAUUAGCACGGGGUAAGAAUUGAAUUUUAUUGAUCAUUACAGAGGAAACCAAAAAGAUUCAUUGGAUAAGGUGGGAUGAUUUGGCAGAAGUAAAGGGGAAGGGAGGACUAGGAUUCAGGGAGUUACAAGACUUCAAUCAGGCGUUAUUAGCCAAGCAGCUACGGAGAAUACUCACAAAGCCUAAUCUACUGAUGAGUAAGGUAAUGAAAGCAAGGUACUUUUCAGGAGCACCAUUAUGGACAAUGGAAAAGAAACUAAAUGAUUCGUGGAUGUGGCAAAGUAUCCUGCAAUCCUCUGUUUUGAAACUCGGACUGGACCGGCCGGUCGAACCGGUCGAACCGGGAACCGGCCAGGUAGCCGGUCCGAGUCAUACAAAAAAACCGGGAAUUUAAAACCCGGUCAAAGUCGGUCAAAAACCGGGUUUGACGGGAAAAAAACCUGUUUUCCGGCUCAACAGUGUUUUUUUUAAAAAAAAAAUUCAAACUUUUUAAUAUUAUGUUUUGACCCCCUAAAUUAUUAAAACUUAUUGAUAUACCUCAAAUAUUUGAUACUUUAUAAAUAUUGUCCUAAAAUUUUAUGUUAUUUUUCAAUUUAAUUCAUAAUUUUAAUUCUAAACUUAUUAAUAUUUAUUAAAUAAUAUAAAUUGCUACUUGAUUGUUUUAAUUUCUUUGUAUUUUCUUAUUAAAUAUAUUUGAAACAUCAAAUAUAUAUGAAUAUACCUUUAUUAAUAUCAACAUAUUAUUAAAUAUUAUAUAUAUAAUAUUUUAAUUUUUAAAUAAUUUUUAUUUAUGACGUCAUCCGGUUCGACCCCUAUCGACCCCCGGUCGAACCCAUUGACCCCUGACCUCGGCCGAGUCGCUUUCCGGUCCGGUUCUGAAAACAUAGCUGCAAUCGAGGGAACUGCUAAAGGAAGGAUUGAGGAUGAGGAUAGGAGAUGGGAACACAGUACAUAUGUGGAAGGAUAAAUGGUUGCUUAGGAAGGGUAGUGGGCUGGUAAGACCGAGGUCUGAUAAUGGGGAAAAUGUCGAGAAGGUAAGUGAAGUCAUUGUAGAUGGAAAAUGGAACAAGGAGCUACUAGAAAAGGUAUGCAAUGAAGCGGAUGUGAUAGAAAUAUUAAAAAUACCUUUGAGUCUGGAAGUAGGUAAACAUAGGUUAUAUUGGUGUCACUCAUCCACAGGAGUGUACACAGUUAAGUCAGGGUAUAUGGUAGCUAGGGGGCAAAAAAAAGAGAAGAAGAGAAGGAAAGUAAUAGUAGUAGAAAUGAAGAGCACACAGGAAUAUGGACAGUGCUGUGGGCAGAACAUUAAACAGAAGUUAAAGCAUUUCGGAUGGAAGUGUCUGAAGAGGAUACUGCCUAUAAAUGAGGCCUUUAGAAGGAGGACAGGAAUAGGAGAUCCAAUGUGCAAAGUGUGUGGAACUCAAGUGGAAAAGCUAGAGCACAUGAUGUUUUUCUGUGGAAAUGCAAAAGAAAUCUGGAGGAGAGCUCCAAUAAGCUGGGAUGGUUUGGAAUGUUUUCGAGAGAAUUUCUGGUUGUGGUGGGAGGAGUUGAUGCAAACGACCAGAAGAGCUGAAGGAAAGGAGCAUAUAGCCUUAACUGUGAAUAUACUAUGGCAGAUCUGGAAAUCAAGAAUGAAAAACAGUUCCAGAACAGUAGAAAGAGUGCAAUGAGGGCAAUUAAUAAGGCUCUUAUGGAGUGGAAUGAGUACCAAUCAACCCUGGAUGAAACUGAAAAGCAACCAGAGGAAGAGGAGAUGAAGGAGUAUGACAAAAGAUGGGCGCCUCCGACAGGACAACGAAUUAAAAUCAACACUGAUGCAGCGCUACAGGACCAUUGCGGACAAGCAGGGUGGGGAAUUGUGGCAAGGAACAAGGAAGGCAAGCUCGUCCAGUCAUGGGCUUUACCACAAACAAAUUGCACGGAACCAAAACUCGAGGAAGCACUAGCAAUUCGGAAAGCUCUCCAGGUAUCAAGGCAGGAAGGAUGGCAGGAAAUUGAAGUUCAAUCGGACUGUCAAAAAAUCAUAAAGAAGCUGCAACAGGAAGUUACGGAGGACAGCACAUGUGCGACGGUAUUGGAGGAUAUAGGAAGAUUCAAGAAGCACUUCAAGUCCAGCACCUUUUCUUUUAUUAGAAGAGCAGGCAAUGUAGUGGGCCACAAGUUGGCAAAAUUUGCAUUAAACUGUUGCUUGAUGUAAUCUGGAAAGGCGACUUUCUCCCCUGGCUAGUCAAUGCCGCAAGGGACGAUUUAACAGAGCAGUUGCUCUGAGUGUAUCUAUGGAUAAGCUAAUGAAAUGCCGUUAUCGUUGGGAAAAAAAAAAUAACAUUCGAUGUUUCGUGUCGUACGUCGGCCCCUAAGACAGUACGACUUUCAAAUAAAUGCAUCUACAUAAUAAAUUAGAGAUAUAUAUAUAUAUAUAUAUAUAUAUAUAUAUAUAUUACGUACAUCCGGAUAUUCUCUGCUACAAUUUUUCAUGUAGCAGCAUUUGGCUUUAUUAUUGCCUCCUCAGUUUCAAUUAUAUGUAAAAGCUUUUUUCUGUGCUGCCUACCAGCAUUAUCAAAUUUUUUUUUCUGAAUAAAGCAUUUUAGUCGUCAAUGGAAAUUAUGGAAUACUUUUUAUAAACAAAUUGUGACCUAGAAUAAAAGAAUAAUUGAGUGGUUAUCGUCUUUUUUACCCCUCAACAACUGAAUGAGACAUAUAUUAUUAUUUUUUUGGACAAAACAAAAUUCACAAACAGUGAUUAAGAUGCUGCAUAACCAUUAUCUACAUCUUUCUUUAUUUACUGUUCUUUAAGAUUUAAGACAAAGUACUUAAUUACCUCAUCAAGUCCUUUAUUACUUUGCUUAUUAGAAGGGAAUUAUAUAGUUCAAGUCCUAUAUUUCAGUGAUGAAGAUUUAUUGCGUACUUCCGUCUACCAAUUAAUCCCUGAUUUCCAUAAAAUAAAAUCAAUGCAGUAUUUGUAAUCUAUCGAUUUCCCUCUCCUAAUUUUCCCAAAUCUCUAAUUACAACCCUUAAUUCAUAAACUUCAAUGCAAUGUUGGUAUUACAAAGAUAAUCGACAUUGCCACUGUAGAAAAAAAGGAGCAGAGGACAUAAGGAAUAAAUUAGCACGCAGUAGUAUAUAAAGAACCAAAUUAACCACCACUGCUAUAAUAAAGGACCAAAAUGUUCAUAUUUCCAUCAAUUAAAAUACAUGAAAGAAUCAAACCACCACACUUAAAUAAUGUCUCUUAUUGUAAAUCCAGUUUAUAACUCAUAAAAAUCAUCAUUUUAUCUCUUUACAAUUUCAAUUCUAGACUUUCAGUUUCUUUAUAUAUAUCAAGAUGUUGACAAUUUAUGUAAAAGAAAAUAGAAAGAUUACAGGUACGGUGAUUUGCAAGGUUACAGACUACUAACCACUUAUUUUCUUAACCUAUUACUAGUCUAUGAUCAUCUUAUCCCUAGCUUUUAAGUAUUUUCACCCACAAAAUUUUAAAAUUUUAGACAAGUGUAGAGAAUUUUAGACGCUUAUGACUUUCAAAAGUUAUACUAUGUGUGAUGUUACUAUAGUCCUCAUGUGUUUGACAACACAAUUCAUCAUUUAAACUUAAUGUAUUUAGAUCUUAAUAUAUUCAGAUACAUUUGAUAACAAAAAAUUGAACAUCUGAAUUAAUUAAGUGCCAUUAAAUUUUUUAGGCAAAACUUGCUAUAAAAAAUAAGUGAUAAACUUUUUACUUAUCACCGAAUGUGAUAUACACUCAAACGUAUUUGAUUUAAUACUUAAUAAUUCAAUAAUUUAAUGGAUUCAGAUUUCAGAUUUCAGUUUUCAAACUUCAAUUUUAUCAAAUGCACCCUAAAUACAAUGAUAUGAAUGUGUGUGCAAAUUUUCUUGUACCUGAAUGGAAGAGGAAGGUUGGGAGGUAAAUGAGGUUUUCUCAAGUGAGUUGGCAGAGCGACCAUGAAUAGCAUGUCACCCCAGUUAAGUUUUUGUUCCUCCGAUACAACAAAGGCCUGUCCAUAUCCUUCUACAUCGCCCGGUUCUUGGGCAAAUCUCUUCUUCUCUUCAAUCGUCAAAUUGAAAAACUUUUGCAUCUCUAGUUUCAGUUUGUCCACUAAUGAAGAGCUCACUCCAUGAUUAAUCACCUGGUGACAAAUUGUACUGUCACUAAUUAUUUGGUGCUGACUAUUAUAACACUUCUCCAUUUUAACAGCGGGCAUGUAUAUCCAUUUAAAUUAGAUGAUUGUCCUUGUAUAACAAUUCAAAGAAGAUCCUAGGAAAAGCAGGAAAGAAAAGGAGAUCACUCCUAUUACAUUCUAGUCAUGCAUUAUGUAAUACUACUAGAGAAAACCAAAUGAGUUUAUAUAUUAGGGUAGGCAUGCUUGCUUUUGACAUAAAAUCUCUGGAUAAUUACAAGAAAAGAAACAUUUCAAUAUGAAAAAAAAAACUUGUGGCAAGAUAUAUCAUUUACCUACAGUCCUGAAAAGUCAUAGUUAUUAACAUAAUAAAUAUUUCAGAAUUAUUUUAUUCCCUUGAAAGUAAGUUAAAGUUGUGGUAAAAACCAAAUUGAAAUGACUGGUAGAUUUUGAGCAAAUACUAUUACAAUCAGACUCCAUUAUUAGGUCAACAACAAUACCUAAUAUAUGCAUAUACAAAUACGAAAUGACAAACCUGGAAGAAGCCCCAUUAUUUGCAGGCAAAAUGCAACUUUUCAAGCUCUGGAUUCACUGAUUCAUCCGAAAGCAACCUUUGCAUGUCAAUUACUGGGAUUUCCUCUGUGGAGGCCCCAUCAAGUUUGGUUGGAUCAGGUCGUGUGUAUCGGGGUGGAACUGAUGCAAAUUUCUCCUUAGCCAACUCCUGAACAUAGGAUACUUUUAGAGAGCUUCCCAAAUUUAUCAUACCAGAUUCCAUGUUUGUGUUUUCUGUAAAUCUCUACCUAUAUACAUAUAUAUAUACACGUAGCUCCAAGUUGCAAUUGAUAUCAAUUCGUGAUCAAGGCACACUUUAUAUGUAUUACUAGGGGGAGUACCCACGUAUCGCGCGGGUGUUUGGUGCCUGUAAUUAGAGAAAAUUUUUCACUGGACCAAUAAUAAUGCAUUCUGAAAAGCAAUAAUCAUCAAAUAUGACAAAACUAAUAAUAGUACAUUCUAAUUACAGCACAUCUACAAAACUAAAAAUUUUCAUUUGUUUUUUGUGGAAAUGCAAAAAAAAAAAUUAAUUAUGUAUAAAUCAAAAAAAUUACUAAUUUAAUUAUUGGCACUUUGCUCAUACGUUGGAGGACUGGUAAAAAAGUCGUGAAGAGCUAGUAUUUUUAUUAAUGAAAACUUUUCCCGUAAAUGGCCUGCUCUUUAUAGCUUUCCUUCAUUAUAUGAUCAAAAUACCAUACUUUUUUGUAUUUAUUACGAAUUCACAUAUUGUGACUGUGAAUUAAAAAUUUUUUGAGAUCAUAUUUUCAUUAAUUAGUCUUUUUUUCGUAUUAUCGUUAGUUUGAAUGAAAAAUUUAGUUGCACGGUGUUUGGGAGAAACUUCUAAAGUAACUAUAUAAUCCUAAUAAUUUUUAUAAUUGCUUAGCAUAUUUAUGUCAUGGUAUAUAUUGUUGGUAUGUUGAUAUUAAUUUUAUUAAAUUGUUUGGUAUAUUAGGUGCAAAAAAAUUAUAGUUUCACAAUUUUUUAAAUGUAAUAAAGCAGUGGAGAAACAAUGCACAGUGAACAAAGGAAUUGGAGGGGAAAAAAGACUACAUCCGGACAUGUCUUAUUUGGUUUAUCUCCACACACGUUACCACUGCAACAUAAUGAUCCGUAAACUCCUCAUUUUACAAAUAUACCUGUCAUGCUCUGAGGAAAUGUCUAUAGUAGGAAGGGUCAAAGGCUUCCUUCCAUAAAAGCUUCCUAAAGUGAGCACAUCAGUGACCAGCCUGUCACAAAAUAUCAGUGUCAAUUGUACUAUAAAAUGUAACCUUAAAGUCUUCACGGAACGUCUCUGGAGUGAUGUAUUCCUUUAUCAAUUUGUAUCAAAAUUGGAUUAGUCCAUCUCCAAAAAUUGAUGACUUACUAAAUAGGAUCCACAUACUUUGCUACGCAGAUGAGCUUGCGAUUGUUCAUUAUAAAAGUAGACAACAUCAGCCUAAAGAGAGCAGCACAUCAGUGCCCAGCCUGUCACAAAAUAUCAGUGUCAAUUGUACUACAAAAUGUAAUUUUAAAGUCUUCAUGGAAAGUUCUCUGGAGUGAUGUAUUCCUUUAUCAAUUUGUAUCAAAAUUGGAUUAGUCCAUCUCCAAAAAUUGAUGACUUACAAAAUAGGAUCCACAUACUUUGCUACGCAGAUGAGCUUGCGAUUGUUCAUUAUUAAAGUAGACAACGUCAGCCUAAAGAGAGCACAGCAGUGCCCAGCCUGUCACAAAAUAUCAGUGCCAAUUGUACUACAAAAUGUAACUACUACCACAAAUAUUUAACCAUUAGGACAUUGAAAAUACAAAUAAUAAUAACGUACCUAAUAAUACAACAAGUUUUAUCACUUAUUAAAAAUUGUAUCUCAAAAUCAAUCUCAUCUAGCGAACGUUCGGACUAAAACUAUUUAAACCAUCAUUUGCAAUUGCUCUAUCAAUAGUAGAGAAUCUUCAUCCAAUUUGAGACUUUUCCCAAACUACAUAUAUACAAAAUAUGUCGUUUGGAAUUUUGCACUUCAACCAUAAAUGGAUUGGUUUUAGGAUAGAAUUUUAAAUUUAACAUUAUUACCCAUGGAGUUGUUUUGCUUCUAAAAUGACUCGUAUACAUCAGAGAUUUUGACCUAAUUUGACUGAAUUUCUAUCUAUCCGAUUUUUUAGGAUAACUGAGACUAGACAUUUGGCCGAUUUUUAGUUCGAUCGAUCGAACCAACAGGUCCGGUCCAAGUUUAAAAACACAGAUGAAAAACACACGAAGAGAUAAUGCUCUUAGAAGUGAUACUUCAGAGGUCUAGCUCAUUUGGUCUAUGGACUGGAUGAGGUUGGACAAGUGUAUUAGGAAUAUAUUAUAAAAGGGCUUCGUUGCAUUUUGGGCUAUAUUAAACUAAGAUUGGGAACUGAAAUUGUCUUUUCGUAUUGCCACAUAGAUCGGAUAUUCAAGUUGAAUGUCAUUACCCUCAAAAAAAAAAAAAGUUGAAUGAAUCAUUGGACAUCAUUUUCGUGAUUUUAAUAAUGGCUUAAGUCAAAAGACAUGUAGUAUGCUGACUUGGCAAGAGUUUUUUUUUUAGCCUCUUCUAUUUUUUUCGUUUGCGAAUGGAAACCCUCGCUAUCACAAAUUAUUACAUAGACCCUGCCACGUAGACAGACCUUAGGCAGGUAACCCUCCCACGUAGACAGACCUUAGGCUUGUUAACGGGUCGGGAUUAUGAUUGAAACUGAAAAUUCUGAAUCUAACCCAUUUUUAUGUAAUAAAUCCAGACCCAACCCGUAUACCCAAUGGGACUUGAUCUUAGAGUUUUGGAAUUGGGUUCGACGGGCUGUGGGUCGAAUCUAGGUCUAUUCGGCGAAAAAAAAUCCAAAUUUAAACAUUUUAAAAUUAAAUCCAAAACCAAUCAUAAAUCCAUCUCCAAAAUUAAACAAAUCAAAUUAUAAAACUAAAUCACAAAUAAUUCAAUAGUCAAUACAAAACUAACCACAAAUCAAUCUACAAAAUCAUUACUAAAUUGUUAAUUUGGUAAAAGAAUGUAUUUAGAAAUAUUUAUAUUUUAUAAUUAUUAGUAUAUUGUUUGGAUCUGGGUUGGAAUCCUAUAUUCUGUAUCCAACCUAUUUUUUGUUAGACUAAACGGAUCCGGGUAUUGGAAUUAUUUCCCAACCCAUAUUCAGAAAAAAUUAUCGGGCUUGAGCCGAGUUCGAAUCCAAACCAAACCCAUUGGUACCCCAAGAGAUGGCCAACCUAGGCCAUGGGCUUUUUCUAUCACCCAUUAUCCCCAUUUAGAAGAGUAGGGAAGACUUUUUUUUUUUUUUUAUAAUAGAGCACAAAUAAGAAACAAAAGCAAUUUUAACACAUAUAAAAGUAUUUGGGAAGAGAAGGAGAAUAAAUAUACAAACAAACAUUUAACUAUUUAUUAACUCAAAACUCAAUCAUAGCAAUAUCAAAUAGUAACUUUUCGUUUACGAUAACUUACAAAUCUAAACUAUGAGACUUUCCCUCAAAUUUACUCUCAAAACUCGAUUCAAUUUUUCAAGUAAUAAUCUACGACUCUAGUAGUAUUUAUGCAUUGUUAAACUUAUUAAACAAAUACAAUUAUAAAUCGAAACUUAUUUGGAACUGAUUUGAAAUCUCCUAAACCAAUAUGGGAACUAAACAAACAAGACACCGAAACAAGAAACUAGAAGAAUUAGAAAACUAAAUACUAAGAUAGUUGGGUUUAAUUUCCUUUAUUGCCUUCCUUAAACCAUGCUCGUUAUUGUGCUCACCUCCAAUGUCAUUUCGAACUUGAAUCUCUAUGAAAAACUCAGUUGCAGUAGACACAACAUUUAACUCCAACUUAUGAUUGAUUUUUAGUUUCAUCUUUACACGUAACAGUGGUUGAAGCUUAUACUUUUUGAACAAUUUCUUACCUUGAUCACUUAUGUCAAAAAAGUUAAACAUGUUCAUCCAAACUCCAUUCAUUACUCCACAUCACCAAGAAAAUUUCCCAACACUAGAAAAUCAUAGUUGCCACCUCCAAUGUUUUUAACAUCACCAUAUUUUUCCUUUAAUUUUUUCACGCUAACAAUCGCGUCAAUUUUAACAAUCGCAUCUUUCGCUUCAAAAAAUUCAUCAACCACAAUGAAAUAAAAAAUUUCUCUCUUAUCACAAUCUUUUGUUACAUUUUCCAUAUCACCAACGACUUCACUUUCUUUCUCCAUCACAUGUGAAAUUUCUUUGUCGGCCACAAAUUUUUCAUCUUCAUGUGUACCCAUAAUUUCUGCAAUUUCUUCUUUCUUUGACUCAUCAAAAAAAAAAAAAAUCUCCUACCUCAUCACAAAAUUCUUCUCCACCCACUACAAGAAAAUUGUGUUUCUGUGACAGGCGAAAGUCGUCACUAAAAAUUCAGAAGUCGUCACAAAAAAAGUCAGUGACGACUUUUACUGCUGUCACAGAGCUGUCACUAGUUCUAUGUCACAAAAGGGGGUCCAUGUGACGACUGUUGAAAGUCGUCACAAACGAUUUCGCUUUUGUGAUGACUCUUGUCGUCACUCAUUGUUGUACAUUGUGUGACGACUUUUAUUGUCACUAAGCUGUCUAAAUUCUUGUUAUAGUCAACUCUUGGAGUUGUCACAUUAUGCUUCCGUUCAGUGACGACUUUUGUUGUCAUUGUUUUCCAUCCAUAAAAAGUGACGACUUUCUGGUGUUACUAGUGAAACUUGUUGGCAGUGACAACUUUUUUAUUGUCAUUUAUUUUUUUUGUAAAAAGCAAUAAUCUAAUGUUAAUUAUGCAACAUAGCUGCCAACAAUCACAAAACGCUCAUUGAGUAGCAAGGAGAAAAAAAAAGCCAACAUACGAAAAGAAAGCCAACAUUCAUUUCCAAUAGAAGAUUAACCCAAAUACAUAUAUAUAUAUAUAUAUAUAUAUAUAUAUAAAUGUUGCCUCAAAUGAGUCAUCAACCAUGCACCAUCCAAAAUAAGCCAUUCAGUUAUGAUACUAGUGAUUUCCCAUCCACAAUAGAGAGUAGUAAAGUUCUAUACAAAAAUAUGAGCACGAUUCCCAUCUAGAACAAAACAUGAGCACGAUUGGCCUUGUAGUCUUCAAAUCAAAAACCAUCUUCACAGCAAUGACUGGCUUCUUCUUCUUGGGAAUCGUGUUAGAACCUACACGUUAUCAAAAUUGAAGCAAUGAGCACUGGUGUUAAAACUGGAACUACACUUCUAGAUAGGCACCAUAUUAUAAAAACUAAUGUCACUCUAAUUUGAAAUUAUAGCAAUCUAAGUAAAUUGCUUAACACAAAAAUAAAGUGAAAUUAUAGCAAAUAAGACAUUGAAUGUAUAUUCUGUGAAAUAUAGAAUAACAAUACAAACACAAUAAAUAUCCGCAUGUUCACAAAUAUAUAUGCAAUAACAAUAACAAUAACAACAAUAAAAUCCUAAAAUCAUUGAGAGCUAGAUGAUCAUGAACCACACAGUAUAUCAAGAAAAAAAAAAGACACACACACGCACAAUCAUAGGUGCCUCUUUUUCCUUAGCACAAAAAAAAAAUUCUGAUACAGAAAAAUUUAGAUGAGUUCGACAAAGAAAAAAGUUGAAUACAUCCCAACAUUCAAACACCUUUGCUUUAAAAACACUAAAGUUUUGGUUGCAACAUCCAGCACCUCAAUGGCUGUAAUUAAACAUGAACAAGAUUUCAAGCACCUAAAUCAGCCUCAAGCAACUCAAUUGCAUUAAACAGGAAUCGGAUUUGGUGGAACCAGAUUUCAAGUGCCAUCAAGCAACCCAAUUGUAUUAAAAAUGAAUCUCUAUUUUGUAGAACCAGAAUUCAAGUGCCUCAAUUGUAAUAACUAUGAAGAGCAAACAAUUUAUUUAUACUUGACACAGAAGUUGCUUAUUUGCGCAAGUCUUUCAGCUGGUUAGCUAACUCAUCAUACAGGCUUCUUGUUUCUGUUUGUUGCUGUUGCAAGGUCUUAAUCAACUCUUGUUGAGCAGUGAAUUGUUGAGUUAUUUCUGCAGCUCGUUUUUCUGCUUCAUCUGCUCUUUUUCGGCUGUCCUCAAUCUCAUGCCUCUAGCGUUCUACCUCAGCAGCUUGCUUCUUGGUUGCACUACGACUGCGGAUGUGUCCAGGUAUGUAACCAAGUUCUUGCUCUUAUAUUUCCUUGCUAGUCAUUGAAGUUGUAGCCUACAAUUCCCUCAUUUUGUCCUAGGCAAGUAAAAAAUAUGAUCAUUAUGUAGCUGGAAUGGAUGUCAAUAAUUUAAAAAUCCAUUAUCCAAGUGAAACAGCUCACCAAGGUCUCUUUUGCUUUGUCAUUUACCAGCCCCCCUGACUUCUUUGACUUUCGACUUAACUCAAACAUGUCUAUCUCUGAAAGCUCGACAUCUUCUUUCCUUUUCUGUCCAAAUUUUCAAUUUUUUCAUUUUCAGUCAUAUGACAAAAAAGAUGUACAUGUACAAGUGUUGGCUGGGUUUCAGAUUACCUUUUCCUCAACAACUCUUGCAAGCGAUUUUGUGCCAACAGUAGUGUGGCAGUCAUUUUUGGCACGAUUUUGCGUGUUACGUUCACUAAUUUUCUGCCACAAAUUAGUGAAAAUUUUAACUGACAAAGAUUAGCAAAUUUGUGAAGUGAAAUCUGAAAUUUAAUAAAAGGAUAGGUUAUUUUGACAAGCUAACCUUAAAUUCAUCAUUUUCAAAGUAGCUGACCAGCCACUUCCAAUCUUCUUCACUCACACCUUCAGGAACUUGCCUCAAUGCUUCUUGUCUUGAUUCAAAACUCUGGAAAUACUUGUGAAGCCGAUAUCAAUGGUUUCGAUAUGGUGUGUUUAACUGCCUAUUAAUAGCAGUUUUUGAGGUGAUGUGCUCUGGAAAUCGAAAGUCAUCCUACAAUAACAGUGCAAUCUACUUAAAACCAAGCAAAUCUAUGUGAAAAUGACAUAUUAAAUCUAAGGAAGAUUUGAGUGCAAAAGUAGUGCAAAUCUAAAGCAGUAAAAUCUCUCAUACUUUCUGGAUGAAAUUAGAGUAUUAGCAGGUCAACAAAUACCGUAACCGUGCUGUAUAUGCCUUCUCGGUCACCGGGAUUGAGAUGGGAUCACUUUGGAACAUUAAGCCUAGCAGCCUUCCUAACAACACAACCCCCUUCUGUGAUGAAGUAUUGAGAAUCCUUCCCAACAAUCCGUCGAAUACAAUCAUCAAUUUCAAUGGUGAGCGUCUCAUUAGCCUCCUUUUUUUGUGAUAAUGAUAGAUUUCGUGUACGUCCUCUUCUUCUUGCUGACAGCAGCAUAGCUAUUAACAAAUAUCAGUCCAUACAUUACUUUGACCACAUUAACAAAGUCAGUCAUGAAAUAGAAACUUGGUUUUUAAUUUCAGCCGUGAAAAUGAAGUCUAACUUACCAUUUUCUUGCUUAUCCGAAACUGGAAUAGUCUCAUUUUCUCCGGAUGCACGAGACUCAGAUGUCUGAGGGUGUAUCAUCCUACUCUCACUAGCAAUUUCUCUAGGUGAAGAAGUUGGAGUGACAGAUAUUGCAUUCUCUGAGGAUACACUCUUGGAUGCACUUCUUGGUUGAUUGCUUCCAACUGAAUUAGGUAUUGCAGGCUGUUGUGCACCUUGAGCUUUUCUCUGCAGCAUUUGGCCUCGCUUUCCUGGUCCAGCCAUCUAAAAGUAACAAGAAGUUAGUGUUACAACAUAGUAUAAUUUAGGAAUAAAAACUAGUUAGCCGGAGUUAAAGAGAUUAAACUUAGUGUCAUGUAGUCCUUAUCAAUUUCACCUAUUCCGAAUCGAUGUCAUUAUCACUAAGAAUCUCCUCUUUGUCUUCCUCAUUGUUAGACUCAUGUUCAUUCACUUCAUCAUCAUCAUUAAUGAAGUCUUCAAAGGUGCCAUUUGAGCUAUUUUUUGACUUCUCAGCAUGUACAAUGGAUGAAGGUACAGCCUUCGGUAUCUCAUUGUCUUCUCUUGAAAGUAAUGGUGGAUUGUCGAGGUCUAUUAUAAUAGUGAAAUCCCCAGUUGCUUCUUCUUGAUAUAUUUCCUCAACAAUUGGUUCUUUUUCUAAAUCUUCAGGAACAUCAUACAAGUGCCUUGGACUGAACCUCUCGACGACAAACCAGUUUUUGCCUAGUUUCAAGUCUUCAAGAUAAAAGACUUGUUGGACAUGUUGAGGGAGGACAUAUGGUUGGUCUUCAUACCAUUUUCUGGACGAAUUGACACUUGUGAUACCCCAUUCUUUGUCCACUUGCAUCCCAGCACUAUCAUCGGUCUUCCACCAGUCACACUUGAAUACUAUAACCUUUUUUUUCCCGAGCCAGUAUCUUACUUCAAUAAUUUGUUGUAUCACACCAUAAAAAUCGAUCAUGUUGUUACCAUGCUCACCUCUAACUACAAUACCACUGUUUUGAGUCUUUCUUUGCCUUUCCCGAUUUUCCGUGUGAAACCUAUACCCAAUUCCCAUUAGCCGGGCCUUAUUCCCAACAUAACUUUUUAGCACUGCCAUAUGUCUUUCUCAAAGCAAAAUAAAAGAAAUUAGAAGAUUGUAGUGGUCUUUAAUAAAAAAAAAAACUUACAAGGCUAUAUGUACAACUUUCUACCUCUCAAAUGGGAACAUCCAACGAUAUUGAGCUGGACCGCCAAGGAUAGCUUCAGUAGGCAAGUGAACCAUCAAGUGCAUCAUUAUAUCGAAGAAAGCUGGAUGGAACAACCUCUCUAAUUUACAUAAGAUGACUACAAUUUUUUGGCCUAACUCCUCCAGAAUCUCUCUAUGUAAUGUUCUAGCACAUAAUUUUUUGAAGAAUUCACUUAACUCGAAUAGCACUUGCCGAAUUUCUUUUGUUAAACUUCCAUGGAUUGCAAGUGGGGAGUAGCCUUUGUAUAAAAAUGUGAAAGUCAUGACUUUCAUUCCAGAAAUUUGAAACUGGCCAUUCUUUAUACAUCGGCAAAUGUUUGAGGCAAACCCAUCUGGAUAUUUGAUAGAAUUCAAGAACUCACAUACUUUUUUUUUCUCCUCCUUGGUUAGGCUGUAACAGGCAUGUGGCAUGAUAUAAGAGUCGCCAUUUGGAAUCAAAUGUAGCUCUUUUUUCAAACCCAAAUCCUUCAAAUCUUGACGACACAACCAGUGGUCUUUGGUUUUGUUUUCAAUAUCCAUAAUUGUGGCAAUGACAGCCUCUGAGACAUUUUUUGACACAUGCAUUAAAUCCAAAUUAUACCUAAGAAGGAGGUCUGCCCAAUAUGGCAACUCAAAGACACAAAUUUUCUUUGUCCAGUUCAAACCACUCUCAGAACGCUUGCGUUUCUUUGCAUUGGAUUGCACCUUGGUCUUCCCAAAAUUUACCUCCAUAUUUUGUGCCUGAUCCAAAAUUUCAUUUCCAGAUAAAGGUGCAACAGGAUUCCUAAAGUCCACAUUGCCAUCGAAAGGUUUUUUUUUCUCGCCGCCAAGAAUGGUCAAUGGGUAAGAAGCGGCGAUGACCUGUGUAACACAACUUUUUUCAAUGUGGUAAAUGUACGCAAGUUGUCUCAACUAUGCAAAUAGGACAUGCUUGAUACCCUUUCGUACUCCAUCCGGACAGCAUUGCAUAAGCUGGAAAAUCAUUUAUAGUCCAUAGUAAAGCUGCCCGAAGGUCAAAUUUCUUGGCACUAUAUGCAUCAUAUGUUUCAACACCAAGCCACAUUUCAUUCAGUUCAUCUAUUAGAGGCUCCAUGUAAACAUCAAUCUCAUUUCCCGGGGAUUUAGGCCUAGGAAUUAGCAUUGAUAGGAAAAAAAAAGGAUCUCUUAUACACUUCCAAGGGGCAGAUUGUAUGGCACUAGAUAAAUAGGCCAGAUGCUAUAAGCACUACUCAUGGUUCCAAAAGGAUUGAAACCAUCAGUUGCAAGACCUAACCUCACAUUUCUAGGAUCAACGGCGAAGUUCGGAUGCAACCUAUCAAAGUGUUUCCAUGCUUCACUGUUUGCUGGAUGCCACAUGAUGUUAUCAUCAUGCACACACUUUUCUUUAUGCCAUCACAUAUCUGAAGCUAUUUCUUUGUGGGUAUAUAAUCGUUGCAGCCUAGGCUUAAAAGGAAAGUAACGCAAAACUUUGCGUGGAACUCUUGAACCUGCCAUCUUGUAGCGAGGUUCUUUACAAUUUAGAUUUGGACAAGUGUCUAAAUUUUCAUUUUCCUUGCGGAAGAGAACGCAAUCAUUGACACAAGCAUGGAUUUUUUCAGAUUUAAAACCUAAGUCUCAAAUGAGCUUCUUAGCAUCAGCAAAAGACUUGGGAACUGUGGCUUCAGGAGGUAGUGCAUGCCUAAAAAUUUCCAACAAUGCAUUGAAGGACUUUAUAGUCCACCCGCUCAUUGUUUUCAAAUGGAGCAAAGUGACUACGAAGGAUAGCUUUGAGUAAAAAUGAUUCCCUGGAUACAGCUCCUUUUUUGUAUCUUCUAACAAUUUAAGAAAGUUAUCUGUGUCACUAUGAUUCGCAUUUAAACUAUCAUCCGUUGAUUCUUCCCUACCAGCCCAAUUGUCCCCCCAUUGUGCUGUCCCAAUGUCGUGCAACAUGUCAUUUUUUACUCCGAGUUCAUAAGCCUUGUCCUUCCUAUUGCUAAUCUUCAUCCAAGUUUUAUCCAUGUCCUAGAUAUAGACACAUCAGCCUUUAGUACAAAAUACUUUUCUAAUAUCAAACUAAAGAGAAUAAUUUGUUAACUAGCCUUUUCAAAAAUUAAGGCUACAAGUCAUAUGAAAAGCAGCCAUAAAAGUAAUAUGAAAAUUCAUAUGAAAAGCCAUGAAAUGAGUAUCAUAUAUCAAGAAAAGUAAUAUGUAAAAUGCAACAUUUCAGAAGCCCAAAUUGCCUCGGAUAAUGGCAAGGAAAUGAAGCCUUUCGGGGGCAGGACAGAAGCCAUUGGAUAAUGAGCUAACAAAAAUAGGGGAAAAUUAAAAUGUAGGUUCGAAAAUGGCAAGGAAAUGAAGAACAAAGAACAAACUUCAGUUGAACUUACCUGAGAAAUGUAUAGCUUUCCCCAAUUGCCUCGGAUUUGCUCGUGCUAAAGAGCUCGACGCGGUUGCGGGUCAAUAGAGGGGAGAAAGGGUUAUCGUCAGUGGUGAAGGAAAUGCUGAAGAAUAAAUUAUGGUGCUGGGUAGCUCGGACUUUAGCGGCUGAUGGCGGUGGAUAGCGGCGGACUUCAGCGGUUAACAGUGGUGAGCGGCAUUUCGACGCGGUUGCGGGUCAAUGGAGGGGAGAAAGGGUCAUCGUCAAUAGUGAAGGAAACGCUGAAGAAUAAAGCUCAAGUUGCUCGGUAGCGGCGAACUUCAACGGCUGAUGGUGGUGGAUAGCGGCGGACUUCAGCGGCUAACGGUGGCGAGCGGCAUUUCGAAUCUACGGGAAGGAAGGAUUAGUUCACCAUAGGAAGGAAAGACUGAGAAUGAAAUUUGUCUAAGUGUUGGAAGAGAGAAGCGGCGAGACUUUUGUUUGUGUGUGAACAACCAAAAACGACGUCGUUUUGUAAAGAUUUCAGCCACCCGCCUCGCGCCUCUUUCAGAUUUCAGACUGGCGCUUUUUUUUUUUUUGGCAUCUAAGCACGUCUUUGAGAUUCCAGGAUUCACGCUUUUAGCUUCAUACAUCUUUUUUCCUUUGUUUUUAGCCAAAUUUUUUUUCAGGUUUCUUUUUUCAUACUUAAUCUUUUUUUUUAUCCUUAAUCUCAUCUAUAAAUAUCAAAUAAAUUAUUUGAUAUUGGUUUCUUUUUUGUGCAUGUAUAUAUAUGUGUGCUUGUUUGUGUCUAUAUACAUAUUUUUGGGUUUGGACAACUCAAUAUACAAAUUAUUUAAAAAUUUACCUUACAAUAAAACUUACACAAUAAAACAUGUUUCAAAAAUUUAACAUGCAUAGAAUCGCUUAUAUACAUUAUAGCACUUCUUACUCAUGCUUAUACUACUCUUUGUCUAUUACUUAGUUUUUAUAAUAAAUUAAAAGAAACGUGUAAUCAAAUAUUUUGUUAAAUGUGUGGCAACUCUCAAUCUUAUUGCACAACAGAUAUUUUACUGAAUAAUUUUAAUUUUGUAUAUACCCAUUCCACAUGAAAAUAAUUAUUACUUAUGAUGUAUUACACGUUAUACUAAUCUUUCAUAGUGCUAACAUUAGACUACAAAUUAUAUUCAAUUACACUUUUUCAAAUUAUUUCAGUUAUUGAUUUUUGGGAAUUGUUAUAAGGAAUAAUAAACAAUUCGUGAAAAAAUUUUUAUGCUCAGACAUGUCUAUUAUGUCAACUUAGCAAAAAUUACAAAUAUCUAAAAAUAGUUUGUUAUUAUAUCAUUUGCAUUUUGCUAAUAUGUAAUUAAUAGGGGCUAAAUUAUAAAAUUAGGGUGUCAUAUCUUCGGUGCUUUUGCUCAUAUAAAAGAAUUGGGGGCUAAGUAAUAAAAUUAGGGUGCCAUAGUAGAAUUAGAGAAAUUUGAUGAAAAUACUAUAGAAUUGCUUAUAUACAGUAUAGCACUUCUUACUCAUGCUUAUCCUACUCUUUGUCUAUUACUUAGUUUUUAUAAUAAAUUAAAAGAAACAUGUAAUCAAAUAUUCUGUUAAAUGUGUUACAACUCUCAAUCUUAUUGCACGACAGAUAUUUUACUAAAUAAUUUUAAUUUCGUAUAUACCCAUUCCAUAUGAAAAUAAUUAUUAGUUAUGAUGUAUUACACGUUAUACUAAUCUUUCACAGUGCUAACAUUAGACUACAAAUUAUAUUCAAUUACACUUUUUCAAAUUAUUUCAGUUAUUGAUUUUUGGGGGUUGUUAUAAGUAAUAAUAAACAAUUCAUGAAAAUAUUUUUAUGCUCAGACAUGUCUAUUAUGUCAACUUAGCAAAAAUUACAAAUAUCUAAAAAUAGUUUGUUAUUAUAUCAUUUGCAUUUUGUUAAUACAUAAUGAAUAGGGGCUAAAUUAUAAAAUUAGGGUGUCAUAUUUUCGGUGCUUUUGCUAAUAUAAAAGAAUUGGGGGCUAAAUAAUAAAAUUAGGGUGUCAUAGUAGAAUUAGUAAAAGUUGAUGAAAAUACUGUAGUAUACAGUGACGCAAAAAGUUGUCACAAAAUUGGAACCAGGUAGACUUUCAAUGACAACAAGUUAUGUUGUCACUGUAGAGAGAGUGUUUGUGACGACUUUACUUGAGUUGUCAUAAAAUCAUUUCCCGCGGCAUCAAAUGAGAUGCGCGCCAACUAUUUCGUGACGAGUCGAGAAUGACAACUUCCAAUGUUGUCAUUGAUUAUGCUUGUGCUGUACUCAUCUGUGAUGACACCUAAUGUCAUCACUGAAUUAGGUUAUCUGUGACAAGAUUUUUGUUGUCACAUAAAUUUUUGUCACUGAAAAAUAUAUUUCUUGUAGUGACCAUGACCAUAGAAAUUCAUCAAAAUUUUCCAAACCUCUGUUGUUGUAUUUACAUCUAUAAAUUUUUUGGCUACAUGCAGUUGGACUUGGGUGUUGAGAUAUUGGAAUGCCUUGCAAUCUAACUAUUUAUUCUUCUCUAACACUUAAAUUGCUUGAUAAUUCAUACCUUCUAUAGGUUUCGUGAACCCCUUUUAGACAAAAUCCCAAAUUCCAAUAGUUUGAAAUUUUUUUUUCAUCAUCCAACUCCAAAUCUCAAAAUCAUUUUUAUCAUCAAAAAUAAAAACAUCACAACGUGAUGAAUAACAUUGAUCCAUGCUUCAAUUUCAUGAACAAGCCCUAGAAUCAAAGUCCAGACCUCUAAUACUUUGUAGGAAAAUAGCCCAUAGGAUAAAUAAUCAAAACAAAUCACACACUCGAAGAAAUAGCAUGGCAGCGAAAUAUUUAUAAACAAACAAACGGAACGGGCUCAAGAAAGAAAUGAAGGAAACUAAUUCCUAAACUAAUAUGAAAACUAAACAAACAAGACACCAAAACAAGAAAUUAGAAGAAUUAUGAAACUAAAUACUAAGAUAGCUUGGUUUAAUGUCCUUCAGUUAGUGAAACUAGUUAUGAAAGGAGUUUGGUAGUCAUCCCUUUCUUAUAGUCAAUCUUUCCCUCUGCAUCUCUUUCUUCUUCUCUCGUUCUGAUCAUUCCUCAUUCUUGAACUAAUUCUUUCCUUCUCUAGUUCAUUUUUCUCCCAAAUCAGUACUUAAUUUGGACUCCAAUGUUUGAGUCCCUGAUAGUUGUUGGUAUGAAGCGGUUGACUCUGGCUGCUUGAAUACCCCCUGAUCAUGGCUGAAACUACUUGUUUUAAGUGUUUGAAGGAGCAGGUCAAGAAACAGAAGCAAGGUUGAACAAGGCUCUGGCUUCCAUAGGAAAUUUUUAGCAGCAGUUAGACUCCAUGAAUAAUUUCCAGCAACAUUUUAAAGAUGAGUGGGAAAGUAAUGGCAAGAAGAUGGAGUCCAUGAUUCAUAAUGUGCAUCAGAAAUUCAGCUCCUCUAUGAUGUUGAUGUCUUGUAAAGACAAUCAGAAAGUGAUCUACGAAGAAGAAAAUUUUGGGAUUCCCACCUCCUAGAAGCAACAGAAGUUGCUGUCCACCAAUGAGCCUGGAGCGACUACUAAGGAGAACUGGAGUAGGAUUCCUUUUCCCAGUUACUCUUAAGGUUGAAUUACCUAUGUUCUCUGGGGAUAAUCUCAGGGAAUGAGUCAGAAAAUGCCAUAAAUUAUUCUUGUUUUACAAAUUUUUUUGAUGAAAAUAGAAUGAAUGUGAUUGGAAUGUAUCAUGAGGGAAUAACAGAUAACUAGUUUCUGGGGGUCAAGAUUGAAAAACCUAGCUAGUUUGUCUUGGAAGGAAUUAAAGAACUAUCGUGCACACAUUUGUUGACCGAGGAAAUUUGGAAAAAUUCAAUAAGUCGCAAUAGAUUGGUAAUUUAGAAGAAUACCAAGAGAAGUUUGAACAGUUGAAAACUUUGAUGCUCCGCAGGAGUAAUAAGACUUAGUGAACGAUAUUCUGUCUCCAGUUUCAUUAGCGGGCUUAGAGAAGAAAUUAGGCAUGGUCAAGAUGUUCAAACCUGAGCUUUUAAUAGAAGCAUUUGACGUAGACAAAUUAGACAAGGGGGUAGGCAGAAUGUGGACUCCAUAUUUGAAUUAUAUAAAAUCAAAAUUGGCCAUGGUAUUGGAACUAAUAGCUAUAGGCUCCCUCAUUGUCGAGUUGAAAAAGGAGCUUCUGCUAAUCAGGAUUCUAGUCCUAACAUCAUAUAGAAAAUUUUACCAUCCAAUACCAGAGGAAUAAUAAUUUUUGUUUCAAGUGGUGCCAACAAAUUUGGAGCAGGAUAUCAAAGUAAAAUGAAGCAGCUGCAUCUGAUGGCAGAAGACGAAGAGGAGGAAAUUGAGUUUGCAGAUGUCCAAGGGAAGCAAGAUGAGGUAACCACCAGUAAUAUUGGGGUUGUGGUAGACAUGUCAUUUCAUACUUUGUCUUCUGGGCUCAAAAGAAAGACCAUUACUCUACAACAGGUUAUGAGAAGUGUAGUAGUGAACGUAUUGGUGGACACUGGAAGUUCUGAUAGCUUUAUCAGUCACAGCUUAGCAAAAGAUUCUGAUGACUAAGUUACUAAAAAUUUGGUACGUAAGCUAAUUGUAGUCGGAGAGUAAGUGCAUUCCACAUGACAAUUUGGGCUUUUAUAGGAGUGUUGUGGCACAUUAGGUAAAUGUUGGAAACAAAAUGUAAAUAUUGGUGAAGUGAGACGGAUCUAGACGAACACCAAGUUGAGUGGAUUUGCGGAACUUUGACCCUGCUAGAAUCACGAGCCACGAACUAAGGAGAAUCCUUAACCCAAGACUAGCCAGUUUAGUGAACCAAAGUAUAUUUAGAAGAACGCCACAAUCAAGGAGACUACUUGAUUGAUAAGUUCGAUGAACAACUUGAGAUUAAUUCUCAAGUAUUCAAAGGAAAUUCCCUUGAAGCAAGAGAGAGUGAAUAAACUCACAAUUAUGUUAUAAAAUCCGAAUUCUGUCCCCUAAUGAAUGAAAACCUAGGCUAUAUAUAGCCUUACAAGACAAAACCCUAACUCGGCUAGGCUAGGCCUUUGGCCCGAUUCCACUACUCAAAUCCACUAUCUAAUGGUCAGCUUAUAAUUGAUCCAAUGAAGGCUUUAAGCUGGCCCAACAUAACCCAAUAAAAGCUAAUUAACCAACUUAAGUUAUAGUGAGCCUAGACUCUAUAAAUCGGAUCCAACUCAACAUGAGGUCUUGGACCGAAUUUAUUCAUAGCAAAUAAAAUAGAAAUCUAGAAAAUAAACUACUAACUAUUACUAAAAGAUUCAAUCUCUUGCAGCCCAAAACAUGGCCCAUAAGCGGCCCAUAUUUCGUAUCAUUCCCCUCCUCUUGAAAAAGAUUUGUCCUCAAAUCGUGUUUGGAAAUGAAUAGUACUACAAGAAUUGGCAGUAUGAAACUUCAAAUCUCCACAUAUUGGCUCUCUUAGAAUGAAUGAUACUUGCAUACGUCAUGAUUAUUGUAAUUCGGUGCACAUGUCUCUUGGUCAGCUUGAAAAUGCUCACAAUCUGCCAUGGGAAACUCAAGGCUUGAAUCCAACCACUCCAAAGUUCUCUAAGCAGUCCUGUGUCAUGAAUGGUCGACUUUGGACCUACACAAUAAAUCACACGAUUAGCAUUUGUAGGUAUAAAAUCACUUGAUAGCUUACCAUUCACAUUCACAAGAUAAGGAUCUUCAUAGUGAUGCUCAAUCAGGUUAGAAAAGUCCCGGACAUGAUUUUGCAAAGUUACAAAAUUCAUUGCAAGUGGUUGUUGGUAUGGCCUAUCUUGCACAAAUGGAGUAAGAUCGAGAUAGGCAGCUUCUGAACCUUCAAAUUGAGGAAUAAAAUCAGGUUGUAAGGAAUCAGAAUUUGGACCAAUGAGGAAAGGAUUGUCACCAACAAAAUAAGAAGGAAAUGUAUAACAAGUUUCAAGUGUAGAAACUCCCUUUGAAACUUCAUUAUUCCUCCCAACAAGCAAAUCAGGCUCAUGGUUGACGUUGAACAUCAGUGGAUGACAAAGAGAGACAACACUUAAGGUGCAAACUCCAUGAAAAGUUUGAUAUUCACCAAUGGAUUUAGGCAUAGAACAUGCCAAGAUCAACUCAAUUUUUCCUUGCUUAACCUGCAUAAAAGUAGAAACACUAAACAAAGUAGAGUCAAGAUCGUUAGAAAAAACAUAUGGUCUCACAUCCUUUCUCACAAUCAACUUACUCUUAGAAUUUUUAAUCUCUUGUUCAUGCUCAGUAGCUGACUUUUUCCCCUCAUUAUUCUCAACCUCUUUCUCCUUUUCAACUCCCUCGAAUUUUACCUCUUCAGUCACAAUUCUCUCCUCCAGCUCUUUCUUCAUACUAUAACGCUCAUGCUCACUCUUCAUGUAUGUUAGAUCAAUACAAAGUUGCUUAGAGUUAAGCGACACAAGCCUGGUACGACGGCCAUUAAAUGUGAAGGAAUACUUAUUAGUAUAUCCAUCAUAUUUGACUUCUCGAUUAAACAUCCACCAUUGUCCCAACAGUACAUGCGUCACUUGAAUGGGAACCACAUCACACAACACCUCAUCCACGUAUUGCCCAAUACGAAAAGGAACAAGUGUGUGCUUAGUAAUCCAAAUAUCACCACUAUCACUUUGCAACUUGUAAGGUCGAAGAUGAUCAAUGGUUGGAAGAUUCAAUUUCUCAACCAAGACAGUACUUGCGAGAUUAACCUCACAACCCUUAUCAAUGGCUAAGCUGCAAACUUUAUCCUUGAUAUGGCAACGUGUAUAAAACCAAUCAUUUUUUUUAGCUUUGAUGAUUUCCAAUUGCUCAGUUAUCUCACGCAAUGCCACAGUAUUUACUUCUUUAGGCACAAGAUGGUGAAGCUCCAGUUGAGCAUUCGUUUGACUCAUACUUUUAUUACCUGCAAAACUCAACAAAAAUUAGUAGAACAGUCCUCACUCGCUCCCUUAAGUGUUUCACUCCUCUCGUGUUUUCACUCAAGUGUGUAUGGCACUCUAAUGCUCUCACCAAUUCACUUCUCAAACCACUUGUUUGUUUCCUUUGAAGAAAUCAGAAAUUUUCUCAAGGAAGUUCAAUCAAACUUUAAUCAAUAUAGCUCCCAAUUGUAUCAAAGGAACAAGGAAACAAAAAGUAGAAAUGGAAAGCUCAAGUAAUGAAUAAGGAAUGGAAGAGGAAAAAAUUGAUGUACAAAGAAAAAGAAAGUCCAAGUACGAUGAUGGAGUUCCCAAGUGCUUUACUUAAUUGCCCAAUUGAUUUUUGGAAACAAGUUAGGUGUUGGACUUAUUUGGAAAUUUCCUUAAAGUCGGCUAACCAAACAGAAUUAUUACCAAAAUUUUUCCAGAUUCCCUCUCCAAAAACCUUCCUAAAGUCGGCUAUAACAAAUCAGAAUUGUUCCCAAAAAAAUUCCAGAUUUCCUUCUCUUUUGAAACCUUCCAAAGUCGGCUGCAAAACAGAAUUUGGUAGCUAAAAAAAUUUCCAGAUUUCUGCUCCUUUUAAACCUUCCAAAGUCGGCUGCAAAACAGAAUUUGGUAGCUUAAAAAUUUCCAGAUUUCUGCUCCUUUUAAACCUUCCAAAGUCGGCUGCAAAACAGAAUUUGGUAGCUUCCUAACCGUUGAAAAUUUCCAGAUUUGUUACCUUAUCAAAUCAGAAUUGCUUCCACGAAAAAAAUUCCAGAUUUCUUGUCUUCUUGAAGCCUUCAAAAAGUCGACUAUCCCUCACUAAAAUUUCCUCUCUCCAGCCGCCCUUAGCUUGCCAACAAUUCGGCCUUUCUCUUUCAAGACGCAACGCACAAUUCUGUUCUCUCUUCCUUAGACAAGGCCACGGCAGUUUUGUUUCUUGUUUCAAGGAAAUGGCUUCUCAAGACCACGAGAGUAUUGUCACUCAAGAGUCCCCCAAGCGGCUUGCUCAAGAAAUUCCCAAGAGAUUUACUCCUAAACCAAGGAAGCCCCGUAUGGAUGCAAGAACGUACAAGAAACUUUUUAUACGAAGGCAAGUGCAAGUUUUUAAGGCCCAAGAUAAUCAAGAACCUCAAGCAAGGGUUGUUCAAGUGAUCAAGACGCAAGGUGUUCGAGACUUUCAAGAAGAGGUGGGACAGAAUUUUUGAGUUUCUUUUCUUUUUUUUUUUCUUUUUUUUUCCUGGUGUAGUUUCUGGUUUGGUUUGGAACAAGGAGUAACAAGACAGCUUGGUCAAUAAAAUUUCGGCUUCUUUCUUUGUUGCUUGCUACCCGAAUGCCUUUUCUCUUUUCUUCUUUUUUUUUUUGACUCUAAAACACACGAUUACUUGGCUGUUUUUGGGUAAAAUUCCAGAAUGUUAAUGUCAAACCAAUGUUCUCCUUCAAUCCUCCAACAACUAUCAAGACAUGUAUCAAAGUUUCAAGACUUCAAGAUUAGUUUCAAGAAACUCAAAAAACCCUAGAUUAUUGUAGUCCCUCUUCAAGAUUCCAACCCCAAACAAGUUUAACCACAAAAAUCAGUUUAGGAAAUUAAUGAAAACAACUUGGUGGAAUAAACUAAAGUUUGGACAGAUUUGGCAAGAAACUUGCGCCCAAGGAAACCCUAGUUGCAAGUGAAAACCCUAGCCGUCGCAAAUUUUUUUUUUUUUUAAUAAUAAUCGGACUUGACACAAAGAAAGACACGACCAGAUUUGAAGACAAAUACUAGAAAACUUACGAAGAAAGAAAAGGAGAAAAACAAAGAACCUCAACAGGAUAUACUUGAUGUCGUCGACUAGCUCUGAUACCAACUGAAGUGAGACGGAUCUAGACGAACACCAAGUUGAGUGGAUUUGCGGAACUUUGACCCUGCUAGAAUCACGAGCCACGAACUAAGGAGAAUCCUUAACCCAAGACUAGCCAGUUUAGUGAACCAAAGUAUAUUUAGAAGAACGCCACAAUCAAGGAGACUACUUGAUUGAUAAGUUCGAUGAACAACUUGAGAUUAAUUCUCAAGUAUUCAAAGGAAAUUCCCUUGAAGCAAGAGAGAGUGAAUAAACUCACAAUUAUGUUAUAAAAUCUGAAUUCUGUCCCCUAAUGAAUGAAAACCUAGGCUAUAUAUAGCCUUACAAGACAAAACCCUAACUCGACUAGGCUAGGCCUUUGGCCCGAUUCCACUACUCAAAUCCACUAUCUAAUGGUCAGCUUAUAAUUGAUCCAAUGAAGGCUUUAAGCUGGCCCAACAUAACCCAAUAAAAGCUAAUUAACCAACUUAAGUUAUAGUGAGCCUAGACUCUAUAAAUCGGAUCCAACUCAAUAUGAGGUCUUGGACCGAAUUUAUUCCUAGCAAAUAAAAUAGAAAUCUAGAAAAUAAACUACUAACUAUUACUAAAAGAUUCAAUCUCUUGCAGCCCAAAACAUGGCCCAUAAGCGGCCCAUAUUUCGUAUCAAUUGGAAGUCUAGGGAGAGGACAGAUCCAAUCAAAACAAAGCUUAUUCACCAUUUUGUUCCCCUGAGCUUUGGAUUUGGAGGUACUCAUACUUUACCACCUUAAACCUUAAAAAUAUGCACCUCACACCACCAGAAAUCUAGUGAAUAUUUGAAAUCUUACCUUUGUCAAUGUUUGAAAUCUUAACUUUGUCAAGAAAAUUGAGUGUUAUAACAAUAUUGCUCUUUUGUUGAUGAAAUUAAAUAUAGUUUACUAUUAAUGCCCUUUUACUGGUGAAGAAAGUGAUUUUUUUUUAUUUAAUCUCCUCUAAGUCUAGAUGUAAUAUAUAUUAGUCCUUAUUAAAAAUUUAGUUAAGUAAUUCAUAGUUGACUAAUCUGACAAACAAAAUAUAACAAAAAUAUUCUUCUAACAAUUUACAUAAACUAAGAGAAUAAAAUAUUACGCUGUUAAGUAGUAACAAGCUUAAUAUUAUAGCAUGAUUUCAAAAUUUUGCCAACUUUAUUUAUUGUUAUUACUAUAUUAUUUUUUUAGUACUACAUUAUUUAUUAUUACUAUUAGAUUUAAAGUCCAAUAAAUUGAAAACAAUGUAUAAGAUAAAAGAACAUUAAUUCAACAUGAAUUUGAAAAGGCUUUAAGGAUAUUAAAUUGAAAAAGCUUUUUUUGGUUUUAUUAAUUUGAUUUUUUGUAUAUUAGAUACUAUAGAGAAGAUAUAAAUUUUUUAGCAACAAAAUGGCAAUAAUGAUAAAUUAUUAAUCAUUUCAGAAAUUAAAGAGCAUUAACAUCCUUAUACUCACUUUUUUCCUUAUGACAUUAAUAUUUAUAUCUUUGACUAGUUUUCAAGGCGCCAAGCAUACGAUUUUAAGGCUCGUAAUAGUAAAGUCAAAAGUGUGCCCACCCCCAAAGUUUAGCAGAGCAGAGUGUGACUGACCCUUAGCAACGAUGGAGCAAAUUGAAAAGCAUGUACUUGUUAAUGGGGCAAUUCACAAUAAAGCCUUAUAUUUAUGCGAAUACUUGCCUCUAGGAUAUCACCAACGUUGACUAUAAAAGCAUCAGGAAGUGGAAUAAUAGGAACCCAAGCUUCCUUUUCCUUGAUUUGGAGACCUUGUACAUCGUUGAUUUGAAGUAAAAUGGUGAGGCUAACAGGAUCAGAAUGAUGGCAGAGGCCUGUGACCAGCUCAGGUUGAGGACAUGGAGGCUAGUAAGUGAGCCUCAUGGAUUGCAACCCUUCUUCUAAAAGCACUUCAAUUUCUUCAUGCUUCAUUCCUAAUGCUUUUGCUAUUAGGUUGAGAAUCUUCAAGGCAAGACUUUUGAGCUGUAUAGAGUACUCUUGAAGACUUUCCCUAUGCAGCAGAACCAAGAACAUUUGAAGGAAUAUAAAGGUAACUAGCAUAAAUAUCGGUUUAGUAUCAUAACAAAAGAAAAGAAAAGUAAAUUUUGCGCACAAACUUCACUGUUAGUUUCAUGUUUUGCAGUGUUAUUGGAUUGAUUAACAUGCAAAUAAACUAUAAGGAGAACUUAGCAUACCUAAGUGUAAGUAUAAAUUUAGAUGUAUAUUAUAAUGAACUUAAAAUCAUAACUGAUUUGUUUAUUUUCAAAUUGCACAGUGAAUCAAGAUAUUUCAAUAAAUUUGAGCUCAUUGUAACCAUUUGUCACAGUGAAUUGGUGAUUUUUUAUUGUUCAACUUCAUCUUUUAUAAUAUCAGUAACAUUUUCAUCCUUAGGCCAUCCUAAAAUAUCUUAGGCCAUCCUUUUUUCUAUCUUUCUUCUCUUUAGAAAAAAGCUCUCUAAGUAAAACUCUCAUUCAACUCUCUCAUGAGAGAGACAUCAGAUUUUUCUAAUCUCUCUCCAUGUGAGGAGCUCUUUCUAUAGUUUCUUUUCAUUUAUGUGAAUAAAAUAUUUCUUAAGAUUUUCUAAUGAGAGUUUCUUCUGAUAGGUCAUAAUUUGUUAUUAAUUUUAUGGUUAAUUUUCCUCUUUGUCCUUGCCAAAUAUUGUUUUAAUUGUUGAAAUAUACUUAUAUUUGGCAUUUGGAUCUAAUUACAGGAAGUGAAGCGGAAAAGUACUAAAAAGGGUGAUUUUCUUGAGAAAAUGCCGUGCACGUGUGAAACCUUGAGAAUCCUUGCAAAUCCGGCUCCAAGAUGUGCUAACCUAAUGCCUUUCCUUUCGUGAAUAGUAGUUUACUAGCAUUAGGAAACAAGAAAGAAGGAAACUUCAGUAGUUGCCUUAUCUCUUUGUUUUCCUUAUUCGGUGGAAAAACCAACGAGCUAGGGACUAGUCAUUGUUUAGAUUAGGGAGAUUCUUCUAUUAUUCGUCUUCGUCCCGAGGCCGCAAGACAGGAGAUAAUUCCUUCUUCGUGCCUUUACUCUUCUUGCAUGAAACAUAUUAGAUUGUUUGAUAGGGUGCAAUUUUAUUAUUUAUUUUAUUAUUAAUUUCUCUUAUUACCUGACUCGAUAUGGAUUAAUUGCUGGAUUCUACUCACUUUUAGUAUUUUGCAUUUAUUUCAGGAAGUAGUGUGAGAACCCAUAAUUUUCUUAAUUGCUAGGUUUUAUUUUCUUUUAAUUACACGCUUUUCAACAUUUUAUUUAUUCGAAAAAUUGUGAAAAUAAUUUUUAUGAGUAAAGAUGGUUUUGAAAUCAUUUUUUCCGAGUAUAAGUUAGUUUAUAAGAUUUUAAGAGUGUAUAUCGGACGUAGGACCCACUAGUGCGGUAAGUUCGAUAAAAUUCGGCCAAUUAGAUUAAGUUUUGUAUACAGGAAUUAAUUUACUAGGUGUUAGUAAGAUAAGGGAAAGAAUUGGAGGAUAGGAACAUGAUUUGGCAAAGAUUAGUGAGAGAAUGGCAAAGAUGGUGCCAAGUGGCAAGACACCAACCAUGUAACUUAUUUGACCAAAGAAUUUGAUGAAUUAAAACUAUUUUUUUUUUGCUCCAUUUCCUUCAUAAGCUGGCCAGCCAUCUUGGAGCAGCAAAGGAGAAGAAGAAACUCCAUUUUCUUGCUCUUUACUCUUAGUUUAAUCUUAGGAAAAAAAAUCAAAAGUGAAGGAGUGAGUUAGUGAGUGAAAUCCAUCCAACUCUAGUGUGUGAUCUUCAAGCCUUGAAGCUUUUGGUUGGUGGUUGUUUUGGGUGACUUAAUCAACUUGUAAGAGAGGUAUGUGAUCUUUAAUCCUUGCUUUUAUGGUGUUAUAUUAAGUAUUUAAAGGUUUGAGGGUAAACUAGAAGUUGUAUGGAUGCUUCCUAUGGCUAAAUCUCUUGAAUUAGUGAAGUGGUAGUUGGGUUGGUUAAGUGGCCUACCAUGUGUUUGAUUAAUUGUUAAAGUUUUGAUUCAUGGUUUUAGAUAGAGUUAACACUUGGUAUGUCGGUUAAGAGGAAAACACUGAAAGGAUGAAGCAAGAAAAGUAGUGGUAUGCACUAAUAGCCCAAAUUUCAGAUUUCUGAAAAUUCAAACUUCAGUUCUGCCCGGUUCCAGUUCUUGAUGUUACAGGCUGAAUUAGGCUUAGCACAAAACAUAAAAGUUGUAGAGAAUGAUAUUUUCUAGUUGGCUACAAAAUUUCAGCCAAAUCAGAGCAAUGUAGCCUGUGAAAAAACCGAAAUACCCUUGCUUCCCUGUUUCUGUCCGAAACUGAUAAUCAGCUUCUGUAAUUGGUUAGUUUGACCGGGAAUACUACUGAUUUGGUUAUCGAAGUCUUCUUAAGAAUUAUAGCCUUGUAUCUUAGCUUUCAAAUGGCUUUAUAUUACCUGAAUCGGAGUUGUGUGUGCUGAGAUAUGCUUGAAUGAAUCAGGACUGCUAGUGGAAUUUCACAGUGAGCUUUGAACUGGAAAAUCUGGAGUUGUUUUGGUACCUUUGACCUAGUUAGGAUGAGAACUAGACUAAGUGGUUUUCAUCAAAGUUAUAGCCCUCUGUCUUAGUUUCGAAACGGUAUAACUUGUGCUUCAAUCUAAUAAGCGUAGUUUCGGUUAGGUCCAAUACGCUAAGUAGCGGUGAAUCUGCUUUUUUGGUUUCCUAGCUUAAAGCUCAUUUCCGGUCAUUUUCCUAGCUAAAUCUUGUACUUGAAUGACUUUGAGCCUAUUGAACGGCUGUUGUGAUGAAUUUAUAUUGCGUAUAACUUUGGGAUUGAUUGAGGGAAAUAAUGAAGCCAUAAGUGGUUGGAAAAGUAGGUAAAUACAGAGGGCAUGUGUGACGCCCCGCGGCAGAAGAAAAGGGGAAAAAUUUCUGGUGAAUAGUGUUUUGUGGAGAAUCCGGCCAGAAGCCGUGCAAAUUCUUUAUAUUUUUCUUAAAAAUUCCCUUUUCUUUGACAAAUAUCACUUUAUAAUGGCCCUACUACUCAAUCACCCCACAAUAAGUGCCAAUGAACCUGGAAAGUAGGGUUUCACUUUUAGUUUCAAGAUUGGAGCAAAAUUAGGGUUUACGCGAUUUUCGCCGGAUGAAUUUUCGGUACGAAGCAAGGAUCAAAUUUGGUGAUCAAAAAUGACUUUUAAGUGAGAAAUAAUAUGUGAUUAGUAGCAAUGAUAUAAGGUUAGUGAAUGGGAAGUAAAAACCCUAAUACGUGUGUUUUUAAGAAAAACGGCGCGAACCGGCGGGUCCCGCGCACUACCGGUUGAACGCACCACUUGACCACCACUUUCUUACCAUACAAGCUUAUUGACUUUUGAGCAAAAUAUCUUCUUGUUUGGCAGCUGCUUUGACCGAAAAUUUGAGGCUAGAAAAUAGCAAGGAAGAAAGAGAAAAAUGAAAGGUGGUGGUGGCGACACUUGUCGCCACCCUAAAGUUUCUUGGCCAAGUGAUUAACUAGCCUUCUUAAACCAAUUUUCUGCACUUUCCUCUUCAUUUUUCCAGCAGCUGGUCGACCAAGAGGGAGAGAGAAAGUGAGAGCAAGAAACAAUUCCUUCUUCUUGAUUCUAACCAACCAAGUGACAAAUUAAAUUUCUAAACCGAUUAAACUUACCUUUGAGUGAUUAGUUAGUGAUUGUUGAUGAAAUUUUGGAAAGAGAAAGCUUGGGCUACACUUGGUGAACUCUAAUCAAGGUAAGGAAGAUGAUAUCUCUAAAUUUUACUUUCAAUCUUGUUUAAAUUAAGCUUAGUAACUUGAUUUGUGGUGGAAUCAUGGAUGCUAUCAUGUUUUGGAAGUUUUUCCCUUUUUAUAUGAUGAACUAGGGUUUGAGGAAUUUCUGCCCAAUUUGGUGUAUGAUGCAUAUAUGUUGUAAUUAAGUUUAUAGAAGGGGUUUUGGUAGUGAUUGAAGUGAGAAAUUAAGGAAGAUUGCAUUAAAAACUAAAAAUUCCAGAUUUCUGGAAAUUCUUGCUUCCAUUCUGUCCGGUUUUGUAACUGUAUGUUGGAGGCCGAAUUGGCCUUAGGUCAAAGAAUAAAAGUUGUAUAGAAUGGUAUUUUAUAGGUGCUUACAAAAUUUCAGCUCAAUCGGAUCAACAUAGGUCAUGAAAAGUCCAAAAUACCCUUACUGUUUUAUGUUUUUCCCCAGCAGUCCGUGUGAUCCGUUUGUCCAGUUUAUCACGUUUUUUGACUGGGAUUCGUACUGAUUUAGCUUUUUACUAAAACAUGAAAGUUGUAGUAUUCCGACUUAGCUUUCAAAUUCCCCUAAGAACACCUGAUUCGGACUUUUGUACUCUGAGAUAUGACCAUUACAGGGUAAUGCGGUUAUAUAGCCGACGAAUUGGUUUCUGGUUUAGUAAUUUGAGGAUUUGACUAAGUUACAUUAGGAACUGGACUAAGUGACCUUCAUGAACAUUGUAGCUCUGUGUCUUAGCUUCGAAACGGCAUAGGUUACGCCUCAAUCCGAUAAGCGUAGCCUCGGAUAUGUUAUUUCCGCAUUCGUACGUCAAAUCUAUCUUGUGCUAAGUUGAAUUUCUGCACUUGUGAUUGUUGUGAAUCUUGUUUUUAUGAUAUUGUGAGCCUAUGGAAUGGCUCUUGGCUUGAAUUGUUUAUAUGUGUGAUGUUGGGUUGUGGUUGAAGAAAAAUAAUGAAGCCUAAAUGGCUGGAAAUUAGGUAAACACAAAGGGCAUGCUGUCCGAAUUGACACUCGAGGACUAGGAAAUGAGACUUGUAACUUGUGUAAAGGUUAAGUGAUUAUUACUUGAACUAGCAAGCACCUUUGCUACUUUGUUUAUCGAGGGUUAUACAUUAGGACUUGGCCGAACUUGCACCCUUGAGGAAAAGACAUAAUGGCCAAUGUAAACUUGUAUUUCCUUGUACUUUCAACUCAAGUGUUAUUUCCAAGUAUCCAUACUACAAAACCUUAUGAUUUGAAAAGCGAGCAAGUGUUUCACGAAUGCCUUUCAAAUGAAUUUCAAUUGGUUGAUUCUUAAUGAACGGAACGUUUAAGUUUCGAAUCUUACUCGUGUUUCAAAUUCUCAAAUUGGAUUUUUAUCGCAGAGCUGGACUUCAAACCUGGAGUAUAGUUGAACGUGAAUACUUGAAGCACUAUAUUUUGUGUGAGUGAUCCCUCGACUGUUCCCAAAGUUACUUUGAACUAAUUCUUGCAUUUAUUACUCCAUUGCAUAUCAUUUGGGGUUCGGGUGUGUGCCAUGACAUAAUUUGGCUCCAAUGAGUUCUUGGAAAGUCUUGUGCUUAGAACCAAUGUCUCAACUAUUGUUUACACAUUCUUUGGAGCCCGAUGGCUCCUUACCUCUGUUUCACAGUUACCUGAUCUAAACGAGCGUUGGAUAUUUAAGUACAAGAACUUCACUGGCUCACAUGAGCAAUAAAUGAACAUUUGAUUACUGCAUCAUGACAUCAUAUCAAUGCUUUAUUGUGAAACAUACUUGGCUGCUGAUUUUACUGGUCACUCGCUGAGCUUUUAGCUCACCCCCUAUUAUCUUCUUCUCCCCACAAGGAUCGAGGUAAAGGAAGAACUUGUAUUUGGAUCUUUGUGUGGCUGGAUGGCGUACAUCUUGUAUAGUUUAGAUUUGGUUUUGGUUUAUGUACCUUUGGGCCUGUAUAAAUAUUUGAAAUUGAAUCGAAUGUAUAUCUACAUUCUACGCUUAGAACUAGUUUCCGCUUCGCUUAUGAUAUGUAAAUUUGGAGAAUUGGAUGUAUUAUUUGAGUUGUACCUUGUAAUUUACUUGAGGAAUGUAGUAAGUGAGUGAGUCCCGGCGAGAGCUGGGCAGGCGGCCCGCCAAACCCUCUGGUACGCCUUAGGGGGAGGUGGGGUCGUCACAAAUGGUAUCAGAGCUUAGGCUUCAGAUCUUUGUAGUGUAUCCUAGGCUUAAAGUUUAGGAUGCCGGACUGUGGGAUUGGUUUGUACGUUCAGUGCUCUUUUGGAGCGUCAGUUGUGAAUCUUGAAAAUGGUACGGGUAAGAUAUGAUUUGGUUGAAUUACGCUUGAGAGCGUACGACCUGAGCUGUACAAUUUCUUAGUUUUGAAUUCUUGGCUAGGGUUUUGAUAGAUUAUGGUGGUGGCUGGAAUUGUUGAGAAAAGUUUUGGUUUAUAUUUUUCUUCUAUUUUUCCUGUUUGAUUAAGGUUACACCACCCGACUGGUAAAUGUUAAGAUUUGAGAUAUUUGAACUGUCUAAGACCGACUAGACUGAGCUCAUUUGAGACUUGAAUUUGAAUCGGCUAGUGUACCCUUACAUACACUUGAUAGACCUGACCUAACUGAAAAUAGGGUAUCUCUUUUACUCUUGAGUAAGUAUCUUGAUUCAUAUAUGAUCUGUAUGUGGAUUUGAGUUUGAUGACUGCUUGAGAGUGUGAAUUACUGGGCAUAAGCUAGGCAAGUGAGUUCCUACUCGUAUUCAUGUUCUUUGAAUCUGAAAUAAUUGACCCUGCUUUUGAACCGAUAUACUUGAACCCUGUUUUUGACUCUGUUUCUGAACAUUUUCGUACUUGUUUGGUUGUAGACCGGCUACUACUCCUCUGUAGCGGUUGAACUGAACCUCUCUGAUGAGGUAUUGCCUGUUGUGUUACCAAGCACCGCCAUUCUCCUAGCGAGGCAUACCUGUUGUGUUUCCAAGCACUAUCAGGGAUGAAAUUCUUGAACUGAACCUCUCUGAUGAGGUAUUGCCUGUUGUGUUACCAAGCACCGCCAUUCUUUUGGCGAGGCAUACCUGUUGUGUUUCCAAGCACCAUCAGGGAUGAAACUUUGACUUGAAGCUCUCUGGUGAAGUUUAGCCGUUGUGCUAACUUGUUGUGUUUCCAAGCACCACCAGGGUCAAUUUCUUGAGCUAAGAUCCUCUGGUGAAGUUUAGCCGUUGUGCUAACUUGUUGUGUUUCCAAGCACCACCAAGGAUGAAAUUUUGAACUGAGGUUCUCUGGCGAGGUAUAGCCGUUGUGCUAACCUGUUGUGUUGUCCAGCACCGCCAUAGACAAAAUCUUGCAUCUGAGGCUCUGGUGAAGUUUAGCCGUAGUGCUAGCUUGUUGUAUUUUCAAGCACCACCGGGGACAAACUCCUGAGACUUUCUGGUGAAGUAUAGCUGAGUGCUAGCUUGUUGUGUUUUCAAGCACCAUCAGGGGUAAUUUCUAAUCUGAGACAUCGUUAUGUUCUGGAUUGUUUUUCCAAAUAUCAGGGACUUUAAGUCCGAUUUCGAGCCUUUUGUAUAUGUAUCCAGUUACUCGUCUGACUAUUUAUUGGAUCAAAGAUUAUUUGAUAAGUUGGAUUGGAGUACUUUUAGUACUUGAUUGUGAUGAGUGAUUCUUAGUAUGUGAUUAACCAUUGAGAUAUUUGAUCUGAUUAGUAUUUGAUUAUGAUAAGCAAGAUUGACAUGAUUCUUAAUGCGUGAUCGACUUUCGAGAACUAUUUUGAUCUGAUUAGUACAAGUUGAAAUGUCGAGGACGACAUUCUUUUAAGGAGGGGAGUUUGUGACGCCCCGCGGCAGAAGAAAAGGGGAAAAAUUUCUGGUGAAUAGUGUUUUGUGGAGAAUCCGGCCAGAAGCCGUGCAAAUUCUUUAUAUUUUUCUUAAAAAUUCCCUUUUCUUUGACAAAUAUCACUUUAUAAUGGCCCUACUACUCAAUCACCCCACAAUAAGUGCCAAUGAACCUGGAAAGUAGGGUUUCACUUUUGGUUUCAAGAUUGGAGCAAAAUUAGGGUUUACGCGAUUUUCGCCGGAUGAAUUUUCGGUACGAAGCAAGGAUCAAAUUUGGUGAUCAAAAAUGACUUUUAAGUGAGAAAUAAUAUGUGAUUAGUAGCAAUGAUAUAAGGUUAGUGAAUGGGAAGUAAAAACCCUAAUACGUGUGUUUUUAAGAAAAACGGCGCGAACCGGCGGGUCCCGCGCACUACCGGUUGAACGCACCACUUGACCACCACUUUCUUACCAUACAAGCUUAUUGACUUUUGAGCAAAAUAUCUUCUUGUUUGGCAGCUGCUUUGACCGAAAAUUUGAGGCUAGAAAAUAGCAAGGAAGAAAGAGAAAAAUGAAAGGUGGUGGAGUUUCUUGGCCAAGUGAUUAACUAGCCUUCUUAAACCAAUUUUCUGCACUUUCCUCUUCAUUUUUCCAGCAGCUGGUCGACCAAGAGGGAGAGAGAAAGUGAGAGCAAGAAACAAUUCCUUCUUCUUGAUUCUAACCAACCAAGUGACAAAUUAAAUUUCUAAACCGAUUAAACUUACCUUUGAGUGAUUAGUUAGUGAUUGUUGAUGAAAUUUUGGAAAGAGAAAGCUUGGGCUACACUUGGUGAACUCUAAUCAAGGUAAGGAAGAUGAUAUCUCUAAAUUUUACUUUCAAUCUUGUUUAAAUUAAGCUUAGUAACUUGAUUUGUGGUGGAAUCAUGGAUGCUAUCAUGUUUUGGAAGUUUUUCCCUUUUUAUAUGAUGAACUAGGGUUUGAGGAAUUUCUGCCCAAUUUGGUGUAUGAUGCAUAUAUGUUGUAAUUAAGUUUAUAGAAGGGGUUUUGGUAGUGAUUGAAGUGAGAAAUUAAGGAAGAUUGCAUUAAAAACUAAAAAUUCCAGAUUUCUGGAAAUUCUUGCUUCCAUUCUGUCCGGUUUUGUAACUGUAUGUUGGAGGCCGAAUUGGCCUUAGGUCAAAGAAUAAAAGUUGUAUAGAAUGGUAUUUUAUAGGUGCUUACAAAAUUUCAGCUCAAUCGGAUCAACAUAGGUCAUGAAAAGUCCAAAAUACCCUUACUGUUUUAUGUUUUUCCCCAGCAGUCCGUGUGAUCCGUUUGUCCAGUUUAUCACGUUUUUUGACUGGGAUUCGUACUGAUUUAGCUUUUUACUAAAACAUGAAAGUUGUAGUAUUCCGACUUAGCUUUCAAAUUCCCCUAAGAACACCUGAUUCGGACUUUUGUACUCUGAGAUAUGACCAUUACAGGGUAAUGCGGUUAUAUAGCCGACGAAUUGGUUUCUGGUUUAGUAAUUUGAGGAUUUGACUAAGUUACAUUAGGAACUGGACUAAGUGACCUUCAUGAACAUUGUAGCUCUGUGUCUUAGCUUCGAAACGGCAUAGGUUACGCCUCAAUCCGAUAAGCGUAGCCUCGGAUAUGUUAUUUCCGCAUUCGUACGUCAAAUCUAUCUUGUGCUAAGUUGAAUUUCUGCACUUGUGAUUGUUGUGAAUCUUGUUUUUAUGAUAUUGUGAGCCUAUGGAAUGGCUCUUGGCUUGAAUUGUUUAUAUGUGUGAUGUUGGGUUGUGGUUGAAGAAAAAUAAUGAAGCCUAAAUGGCUGGAAAUUAGGUAAACACAAAGGGCAUGCUGUCCGAAUUGACACUCGAGGACUAGGAAAUGAGACUUGUAACUUGUGUAAAGGUUAAGUGAUUAUUACUUGAACUAGCAAGCACCUUUGCUACUUUGUUUAUCGAGGGUUAUACAUUAGGACUUGGCCGAACUUGCACCCUUGAGGAAAAGACAUAAUGGCCAAUGUAAACUUGUAUUUCCUUGUACUUUCAACUCAAGUGUUAUUUCCAAGUAUCCAUACUACAAAACCUUAUGAUUUGAAAAGCGAGCAAGUGUUUCACGAAUGCCUUUCAAAUGAAUUUCAAUUGGUUGAUUCUUAAUGAACGGAACGUUUAAGUUUCGAAUCUUACUCGUGUUUCAAAUUCUCAAAUUGGAUUUUUAUCGCAGAGCUGGACUUCAAACCUGGAGUAUAGUUGAACGUGAAUACUUGAAGCACUAUAUUUUGUGUGAGUGAUCCCUCGACUGUUCCCAAAGUUACUUUGAACUAAUUCUUGCAUUUAUUACUCCAUUGCAUAUCAUUUGGGGUUCGGGUGUGUGCCAUGACAUAAUUUGGCUCCAAUGAGUUCUUGGAAAGUCUUGUGCUUAGAACCAAUGUCUCAACUAUUGUUUACACAUUCUUUGGAGCCCGAUGGCUCCUUACCUCUGUUUCACAGUUACCUGAUCUAAACGAGCGUUGGAUAUUUAAGUACAAGAACUUCACUGGCUCACAUGAGCAAUAAAUGAACAUUUGAUUACUGCAUCAUGACAUCAUAUCAAUGCUUUAUUGUGAAACAUACUUGGCUGCUGAUUUUACUGGUCACUCGCUGAGCUUUUAGCUCACCCCCUAUUAUCUUCUUCUCCCCACAAGGAUCGAGGUAAAGGAAGAACUUGUAUUUGGAUCUUUGUGUGGCUGGAUGGCGUACAUCUUGUAUAGUUUAGAUUUGGUUUUGGUUUAUGUACCUUUGGGCCUGUAUAAAUAUUUGAAAUUGAAUCGAAUGUAUAUCUACAUUCUACGCUUAGAACUAGUUUCCGCUUCGCUUAUGAUAUGUAAAUUUGGAGAAUUGGAUGUAUUAUUUGAGUUGUACCUUGUAAUUUACUUGAGGAAUGUAGUAAGUGAGUGAGUCCCGGCGAGAGUUGGGCAGGCGGCCCGCCAAACCCUCUGGUACGCCUUAGGGGGAGGUGGGGUCGUCACAGCAUGCUGCCCAAAAUUUUAGGACUACGCGAUUCCUUCAAUUGAGUUGAUCUUAGUACAAAUGAAGGGUUUUGGGGUUGUUUGUAACCCUAGGACCAACUGUUAGUCAUAUUUUAUUCUUUUGUACUAGUACUUAACCUGGAAAGACGUACGACAUGAAGUCGAGCCUCACUUGUACAUUCCGUUUACUCGAUUUUGAAUGUGAAACCUUCAAUUGUUUUACUUUGAUGAUUUUAGGCUUUCUUGGCGAUUAAAACCAGUUUGAAGUGAAAACUUUUGAAGUAUUUGUACUUGAACCAGUGAGUGUACCACUCCCCUCAUUUGCUGUUUAACCUGGUUUCUGCCUCUGCAAUCUGCAAUUUAAAUAACUGCACUAUCUGUUUAUUCUGUUUGAGACGACGGUGUACUUUAACACACUCGUUCUCUUGUCUGUCCAUAUGCCUAUUUACUGUGUAUAAUCUGUUAACUGUAUCUGAAUCUGUUCGGACGUCGUUUGGAGGCUGGUAUCCAACGACCUUUCUGUGACCUCUGAGCUCAACACCUGUGGCUAGUUACUCAAGUCGGGCGGACAAGGGCCUGGUCGAUUAGAUAACGAACCACGGUAGUCUAUUUUGGGAUCUUUGGGUAUUGAGACUCUUGAUUCCGGUAUACUCGAAUAUUACUAUUACUGUUCCUGAAUGGAGUUCGGGGCCGGUAGGGGUAUGUUUGGUGGACGGAAAUUGGUGUAAAAUGUGGUCUACGGAUAUGUUGGGUCUAUUUACGUUGACGGAGAGUCAACGGGUUCGGAUCAAGUACUACAAAUGGAAAUCUGGCUCCUGAGAGCCACUUGUAUCCUUUCCCUUUGAAUCACUGUGUCCAAAUGCUUUCCUUUAUAUCUGGUAUAUGUAUCUGAUUGAUUAAACGUGAAAGGCCAUGAUUUUACCCCUAUAUGUUUGGUACCUCAUUGAGCGUAAACUCACCCAUUUCUGUUGCUUUUUAUUUUCCUUACAGGGGACAAACUUGGAAAUCACGAUUUUGGAAGAAAAGAGUCAAGCUAGUAUAUAUGUCAUGUUGUUAAACUCUUUUGAAAACGAAACCCUAAUUGUAUUUUAUGUAGUAAGAGUACCUCGGAUCGCACUGUAUGUUAAUUUGUUCAAGAGUUCAAUGUAAAUAUAUGUAUAAGUAUUUAACCUUAUCUAUUAAAUGUAUUCCGUUGAGACUGAUUUUAUGGCUUGGUAGGCAUGUUCUCACCUUAGUAGUUUCCGCGCGUACUAUGUUGGGUUUGUGUGAAUCGACUCCAUAGUCCUGGUAAGAGUUGGACAGGCGGUCCAUCGAAUCCUUUGGUUCGCCUUAGGGUUAGGUGCGGCUAUCACAGGUGGUAUCAGAGCCACUUCGCAUGGUCUCUGCGCGGAGUGAACUUGGGCCAAGUGGUGUUACGGUACUGAUUUCAUGAAUAUGUCUAAGUGCUCGUUUGAGCAUAAGUUAUGAACCGGGCAUGUUAUAAGUGUAAAAAUCUUUAUCAUGGAACUUGAGGAAGAUAGAUAUGUAUGUCGGGUAGGAAUCUAAAAUAUGGAUGAUUUACUCUUGGGACCAGCCGGCUCGAGUUGUGAAUUAUCUUAGAUGGAAUUCUUGCGCCCAGAUACGAAAGAGAUGAGAGCCUAGGUUAGAAAAGAUUUAAGCGAACUAGAAAUGCGAUUCUAUGGAACUUCGUGUGGUUUGUUCAGGGGUGGUUAAGCAUGAUCAAUCUUGAUUAAGAUAUAAAUGGUUUUGUUCUCGUAGAUUAUGGACGGAGCCCUAGAGGGGGAAAAGCUUUUCGUUAGUUAUUUUUGUACUUGUGACCUAGCCUGUCUGUAGUACUUUUGGAUGACCCCGCUAUUUUCAUGGAUCUCUCAUAUUUGUAUCUAAUUGACUGCUACUGUGUGACUGGUUCGGUACAGUUGUGUAUAUAUAUGCUUUUGAUCUGUAUGUACCUCUUGUUAUUUGCUUAUGCCUAUAAUUAUCUUUAACAUUAUCCUUGCACCUCGACCCUAGAUUGAUUUAGAUCAAUGGAGGGCACUCGUAGUGGACGAGUCCGUGGGCAUGGAAUUAGGCAACCCACGUCUGAAAGGGGCACUGGGGAAAUCUCGUUCGGACCAAACCCUGAACCUAGGGUUGAUCCCAACGUCCAAAUAGCUACUGCCAUUCAGCAAAUGACUGAUUUGCUAGCUCAAGUGGUGCACCAACAGGGUCACAACCCUAACCCCAACCCUGGGAACCCUGGUAAUCACGUGGAGAGCGAGGACCGGGCCCUCAAGAGGUUCCAGAAGUUUGCCCCACCAAAGUUUAUUGGGGGACCUGAUCCAGAUGUAGUCGAAAGGUGGCUAGAGAAAAUGGUGGAUAUCUUUGCUGCCCUGCACUACACGGAGGAACGGCAGGUGACUUUUGCUGUUUUCUAGUUGGAAGAGGCGGCCCGUUCCUGGUGGAACGUAAUACGACAAAAGUGGGACCGAGAGCAAACGCCCAAGAUUUGGGUGAACUUUAUGCGGGAGUUCAACACUAAAUUCUUCCCUCCUCUAGUUCAGGAAUAAAAGGAUGAUGAAUUUAUCCGACUUCGUCAAGGGAUCCAGACAGUGGCCGAGUACGAGAGCCAAUUCACUCGGCUGUCCAAAUUCGUGCCCGAACUCAUCGUGAUCGAGCAACGAAGAAUACGGCGAUUCGUCCAGGGUCUAAACGUGGAGAUCCAGAAAGAUCUAGCCGUAGACCAAAUUAACGCCUUCAGCGAUGCCGUAGAGAAGGCGCAACGAGUAGAGAAUGCUAGGCUGCAGGUAAAAAACUUCCAAGCCAAGAAAAGGGGCUUUCCUGGGAGUAGCUCUGAGCAAGAAGGUACAAGUACGCCUCCUAAGAUUGGAAAGGGAAACGGGGGAGUACGACAACCAGGGGUGUCACGUGAUGUCUCUCAGGGGGGACCGGUCUCUGCUACUCGUGGUCCCUGUGGAUAUUGCGGAGGACUAAAUCAUACGGAGGCAAAUUAUUGGAAGAAAGAGAGAAAAUGUCUGCACUGUGGAAGUACCGAUCAUCGGAUUGUUGACUGCCCAGUUCGAUUGCGAAAAGGAAAAGGGACUCCGCAACCAACUAAGACUAACCCUGGACAGUCGGAAAAGGAAGGGACUGGAUUAAAGGUACCGGCUCGGGUAUAUUCUUUAGAGCACCAUCAAGUUCCUGACUCGUCAGAGGACGUAGAAGGUACGAUCCAUUGGGUACCUUAGAUUUUGAAAGAUUCCGUUGAUAAGAAAAUUUCGAGGACAAAAUUUCUUUAAGGGGGAGAGAGUGUGAGAACCGGUAAUUUUCUUAAUUGCUAGGUUUUACUUUCUUUUAAUUGCACGCUUUUUCACAUUUUAUUUAUUCAAAAAAUUGUGAAAAUAAUUUUUAUGAGUAAAGAUGGUUUUGAAAUCAUUUUUUCCGAGUAUAAGUUAGUUUAUAAGAUUUUAAGAGUGUAUAUCGGAUGUGGGACCCACUAGUGCGGUAAGUUCGAUAAAAUUCGGCCAAUUAGAUUAAGUUUUGUAUACAGGAAUUAAUUUACUAGGUGUUAGUAAGAUAAGGGAAAGAAUUGGAGGAUAGGAACAUGAUUUGGCAAAGAUUAGUGAGAGAAUGGCAAAGAUGGUGCCAAGUGGCAAGACACCAACCAUGUAACUUAUUUGACCAAAGAAUUUGAUGAAUUAAAACCAUUUUUUUUUUUUGCUCCAUUUCCUUCAUAAGCUGGCCGGCCAUCUUGGAGCAGGAAAGGAGAAGAAGAAACUCCAUUUUCUUGCUUUUUACUCCUAGUUUAAUCUUAGGGAAAAAAAAAUCAAAAGUGAAGGAGUGAGUUAGUGAGUGAAAUCCAUCCAACUCUAGUGUGUGAUCUUCAAGCCUUGAAGCUUUUGGUUGGUGGUUGUUUUGGGUGCCUUAAUCAACUUGUAAGAGAGGUAUGUGAUCUUUAAUCCUUGCUUUUAUGGUGUUAUAUUAAGUAUUUAAAGGUUUGAGGGUAAACUAGAAGUUGUACGGACGCUUCCUAUGGCUAAAUCUCUUGAAUUAGUGAAGUGGUAGUUGGGUUGGUUAAGUGGCCUACCAUGUGUUUGAUUAAUUGUUAAAGCUUUGAUUCAUGGUUUUAGUUAGAGUUAACACUUGGUAUGUUGGUUAAGAGGAAAACAAUGAAAGGAUGAAGCAAGAAAAGUAGUGGUAUGCACUAAUAGCCCAAAUUUCAGAUUUCUGGAAAUUCAAACUUCAGUUCUGCCCGGUUCCAGUUCUUGAUGUUAGAGGCCGAAUUAGGCUUAGCACAAAACAUGAAAGUUUUAGAGAAUGAUGUUUUCUAGUUGCCUGAAAAAUUUUAGCCCAAUCAGAGUAACGUAGCCUGUGAAAAAACUGAAAUACCCUUGCUUCCCUGUUUCUGUCCGAAACUGAUAAUCAGCUUCUGUAAUUGGUUAGUUUGACCGGGAAUACUACUGAUUUGGUUGUCGAUGUCUUCUUAAGAAUUAUAGACUUGUAUCUUAGCUUUCAAAUGGCUUUGGAAUUACCUGAAUCGAAGUUGUGUGUGCUGAGAUAUGCUUGAAUGAAUCAGGACUGCUAGUGGAAUUUCACAGUGAGCUUUGAACUGGAAAAUCUGGAGUUGUUUUGGUACCUUUGACCUAGUUAGGAUGAGAACUAGACUAAGUGGUCUUCAUCAAAGUUAUAUCCCUCUGUCUUAGUUUCGAAACGGUAUAACUUGUGCUUCAAUCCAAUAAGCGUAGUUUCGGUUAGGUCCGAUACGCUAAGUAGCGGUGAAUCUGCCUUUUUGGUUUCCUAGCUUAAAGCUCAUUUCCGGUCAUUUUCCUAGCUAAAUCUUGUACUUGAAUGACUUUGAGCCUAUUGAACGGCUGUUGUGAUGAAUUUAUAUUGCGUAGGACUUUGGGAUUGAUUGAGGGAAAUAAUGAAGUUAUAAGUGGUUGGGAAAAUAGGUAAAUACAAAGGGCAUGCUAUGAAUUUUCCCUCAGUCACACGCGGCUUUUAUCUUUUGACUAACAUAACUAUGAAGAAUUUUUCAAGUGUUGGGAAUUCAAGGAUCAUAAAAAAGUGUUUCCUCCAAAAAAAAAAGGGGAACAUAAACUAGUGCAAGAAAUUAGACAAUUUCCUCACGUUUUAAAAUGCUACUUGCCGUCAGAAUAUGUGGAUAAAUUUUAUUUACAACUAAUUUAACUUUAAUAAACAAAUCGAAGUUGUUGAAUAAUUGAAACAAUUUGUAAUAUAGGUAGAAGCUUUCUUGCUUAUUUUUCUUCAAGUCAAGCCACGACCAGAUGGAAGCUUCUUACAAUUACGACUACGCGACUAGAUCAAUUAGUGGUCCAAGUCUUCAACUGUGUCUCUCUUGACCAAGUCAUGCAAGAUUGAUUCAUCAGCAUUCAAUUCAACUCAACAACGUGAAGACUAAGGAAACUAAUGUACUUGACAUUAUAUAAAAGAACAAGCACGUUUUUUUAAUAAAAUAAACAAAAAAGAGCACGUUUCUAAAUGAGAAACUACCUAAGCUGUAUCCCUAAAGUCAACUAGGAAAUUAAUAAAUCGUCAUUAGUGAUGAAAGUGAAGGCAAAUAGCUAAGAAAAAUAAUGUUUUUUUUUUCUUCCGAAUCCCAAAGAGCUUACGUCAAUUUUUACAAAUCUAAACCCGAGGAAACCCCAAAAGCUUAUGAAAAAUAAUGUUCUAAAUAACCAAAAAAUGUCCUAUACAGAAUCAUUUCGAGAUACUAUAAUCUCAUGCUGUUAACCCUAAAAUAUAAUGAAACCACCAAAAUUAGUGAGCAGGUUAUAUAAUCUUUUGCCUCUAUUUUAUUAAGUUCUACCAAUUGGCAUAAAUAAUGGGUGGUGUAUGAAUUGAAGAAGGGCAUGCACGUCGUUCACUUUCUAUACGGGUGACAUUUGAAUAAUCACAAGCUUGUUUGCUGCUGCCAAAUGGGAAUUGGCUGGUGACAACAAUAGAAUUGAAUAGUAACAGUAGCAGUAAAGAUGAUGAAAUACCAAGAAGAUGAUGAUCCAUUGGAAUUUUUUGGUAACUGUUUAUCUGAUAAAGAGAGCUCAGAUGGGUGGUUUUAUUUACGUAAGUUAUGAAACCAUCACUUUAUAGAGUUUCUUUCUGUGCUUGCAGAAACUCUAUUAAGGUGAUAAAACGAGGACGAAGACGGUGGCUGCUUGAAGUUUUCAUGGAAAAAAAACUUGUGGACGUGCUGGAUGGGGUGGUAUUGUGGCAACUAGCAAUGUCCACUUGUCAACCAAAACCUUGACAGCGUGAAAAUUCCUUGGGUUCUUGUGGGAAAGACCUUGGAGACACAUACUCAGAUACGGGGUUGUGAGUAAUAACCGUUUAAAAUAAUGUAAUAUUUUUUAAACAAAGUGUAAUUUUAUAUGAAUUAUUUGUAAAAUUUAAUAGCAGAAACACAAUUAUUACAUAUAGAAUUCACAUAAACAGUAACAGAAUAUCACACAUCUAUUAUAAGAAUGUACAAGAAGUUAAUAUAGUAUUACAAACCAUUUAAAAAUGUUACACUAUUCAGGAUAUCAACAGUCCCUGCCCUGCGUUCGUACAUGCUCCAUAAAUGGACAUUUUAAUUCAUUAAAUUUGGGUUUCAAAUUGAUUUGGUUGCCUAUGUUACACAAUAAUCAGUUCUGACCCUAUCUUUUGCAAUUGAUAUCAAUUCGUGAUCAAGGCACGCUUUAUAUGUAUCAUGUGUUUAAAUAAUAUAACUCAUAUUUAGCUAUAAAAGUUAUUUUACUAAAAAUUGGUUUUACAUUUUGAAAAUUUUAAAAAUAAUGUAAAAGAUGACACAAAAUUUUAGCACCACAGAUUCAAAUCACACUUUAUAUAGUUAGAUAUUUGAAAGAUAUUUCCUUAUUGAUAUGUUAUAAUUCUUGGACAAACAUACUUACUUUUGUUAAGGUUAAUAAAAGACUAAAGGAAUUUUGGAAAAUUUCCUUAAUAUUAUGUUCAUUACGUUUAAUUGUUUGUUCUAAUUUUUGGUUGAUUAACCAACGUCAAACUUGAUCAUAUGCUACUUUGGUAAGCUUAAUUAAAAAAAUCGAAAUUUGCAUUUCACAAUUAUUGGCACUCUUUGCUAUUUUUGAUAUGUCACAUUUGGACUAUUCUGCUUUUAGAAACUAAACUUAACUAAUAAAACAAUGUUUUAGCUUCAAUCCAAACAAAAAGCAUUAAUGAUAUUUUGAUCAAUUAAAUAACUUAAAAUCUGAGAAAAACAAAUGGGGAGCUGAAAGGCUCAUUCAGAGGUUUAGGUUGAAAAAUGUACAUCUCCUCACACACACACACACACACACACACAUAUAUAUAUAUGUAUGUAUGUGUAUAUGGAUUGUGUUGCACAUGAUUCAUCAAAGGAAUAAGCUAUAACAAAAAUACUGACCUUGUCAUAAAACAAAUCAGAAAAUUUACUUUAUAUAUAUAUAUAUAUAUAUAAACACACAACUUUUCUGAUUUGUUUUAUGAGAAGGCUAGUGUUUUUGUCAUAGCUAACUCCUUUCACGAAUCAUGCGCAACACAAUCCACCACGGCUGACGAUUUGAUUUGUUUAUCGAGUUUUCUCUCAACUGAAAAAGAGCUUAUCGUUCCCUUUCCAUGUCAGUGACACUUGAAUAAUAAGCUUGUUUAGUACAACUAAAUGGAAUUUCUUUGUUAUUGGUCAUCUGAAAAAGUAAUCUCAGAGAAAGCACCAGCUACGGUUCUAAAUGUUUCUACAAAAUUGUUGAUAAAAUGUCGACGACUUAAAGUCUUCAUGGAACGUCUCUGGAGUGAUGUAUUCCUUUAUCAAUUUGUAUCAAAAUUGGAUUAGUCCAUCUCCAAAAAUUGAUGGCUUCCAAAAUAGGAUCCACAUACUUUGCUACGCAGAUGAGCUUGCGAUUGUUCAUUAUUAAAGUAGACAACAUCAGCCUAAAGAGAGCACAUCAGUGCCCAGCCAGUCACAAAAUAUCAGUGCCAAUUGUACUACAAAAUGUAACUACUAACACAAAUAUUUAACCAUUAAGACAAUGAAAAUACAAAUAAUAAUAACGUACCUAAUAAUACAGCAAGUUUUAUCACUUAUUAAAAAUUGUGUCUCAAAAUCAAUCUCAUCUAGCGAACGUUCGUACUAAAAUUAUUUAAACCAUCAAUUGCAAUUGUUCUAUUAAUAGUAAAGAAUCUUCAUCCAAUUUGAGACUUUUCCCAAACUACGUAUCUACAAUUAAGAUGUCGUUUGGAAUUUUGCACUUCAACUAUAAAUGGAUUGGUUUUACGAUAGAAUUUUUUUUUUUUAUAAAGGAAAUUUUAUUAAUGAAAGACUGAAAACAUAGCCUGGGAUAAAGCAAAAGCCUUAGCCCCUAAAAGCAAAACGGAAGUUACAAAAAUUUUGCAGAUCCAAAGCCAAAAGUUACGAUAGAAUUUUAAAUUUAACAUUAUUACCCAUAGGUUGGCUUUAUUCUAGGAGUUGUUUUUGCUUCUAAAAUGACUCGUAUACAUCAGAGGCAUGAACAGAUAGUACCUUAUUGGUUGAGGCCUCGAUAAUAAUUGAAAGUAUUAGAACCGCAAGCCAACUAGUCUAACCCCUUUGAAUAAAGAUGGAAGUACUGGUAAAAUUAGUAAUUCCAUUACCAGAAGUCGCAAAGUGCAAAAAAUUAAGAUAACGUUAAGGGAAAAGUGCAAAUUACACUAAAAGUUAGAGGCUUUGAUUAUUUAACCUUUUGUUUUGUUAGGUGGUUGUACAUCAUCGAACCUGUAGGUGAUGGUACAUCCACAUUUUUCGAUAUUUAUUUUCAUUAAUUCCUAGUCAUUACUUUAAGUUAAUCUUAUGCGUGUCGAUUUAGAUAAAAUUAUGGUCAAGUCUUGUGGUUGAUAGUGAAAAAGUUGUUGGAGGUUUUAAAUAUAAAAUCAGUUCAUUUAUUGUCUUGGAAAAAAAUCAAAAUACUUCUAGGCACAUAUAACAGUUUGGCGUUAAGGAACAAAUCUUUAUGGUCUUUGAAGGUUUCAAAUGAGCCCUCCUAGGUUUGGAGGAACACUUUGCAGAUUAGAGAUUGGGCUCAACCUCUUAUUAGACACAUUGUUGAGAAUGGGACUAACACCAAUUUCUGGUUUGAUGCAUGGCAUCCCCUUGGGCCAUUGUAUAGACACUUAACAGGCAGGAAAGAAACAGUUUUGGAUGCAAACCAAAUGCUUCUGUACCACAAAUUGUAGGCAGGAAAGAAACAGCUGCAGUGAGGAGGCCAAAGGAAGCUACACCUGCGUGUUUUGAACCUUUGGUGGGGUUUGAGGAUCAGAUUGUGUUGGAGGGAUGUUUAUCUGGUAUAUUCCAUACAAAAGCUGCCAUAAAGCUUCUUAGUGGCUCAAGAGAGAAGGUGACUUGGGCAAUGCUAGUUUGGGGAAAAGGAUUUGUGCCAAGAUCUGCAUUUAUUUUAUGGUUGCUAUGUAAGAAAAGGAUGCCAACAUUGGAAGGGGAGUGGACUGGAAAUGCUUGAUAAAUUAGUUGUUUUGAAUACUGUAACUAUAGUAGUAUGACGAGGGAUACUUGCCCGUGUGUACAAGUUUGAACGCAGUAAUCAAAUAAAAUCCUUAUUAUUUGCUAAAAAAAAAAACAGUUUGGCCGUUAGAUUGGAAAGGGCUCUCAUUUCUCGGGAAAAUGAUUGAGAGGAAACCAACUAGUAUAUUAUUGUGUGCAAAGAAAUGAAGCCAUUGGACUGGAAAAUUGAACUAAUAUGUCUUUGGAUAAUUAACAGAGGAAAAAGAAACUAAAAGAGAAAACACGAAUAGGCAAACAAGAUCUUGCUUACAGAGACACCAACAAAUUGAUGAUUGUUUUUUAUCCAACAAAGAUCAGAUAACCACCAAACAACAAUUGUUUAAGGAGCAUAUACAUAACCACAUCUUUCAUUUCAACCUGCAACAUAAUAGAGAUUGUUGAAAUAUACUUAUAUUUGGUAUUUGAAUCUAAUUACAGGAAGUGGAGCAGAAAAAUACUAAAAAGGGUGAUUUUCUUGAGAAAAUACCGUGCACGUGGGAAGCCUUGAGAAUCCUUACAAAUCCGGCUCCAAGAUGUGCUAAACCAAUGUCUUUCCUUUCGUGACUAGUAGUUUACUAGCAUUAGGAAACAAGAAAGAAGGAAACUUUAGUAGUUGCCUUAUCUCUUUGUUUUCCUUAUUCGGUGGAAAAACCAACGAGAUGAGGGACUAGUCAUUGUUUAGAUUAGGGAGAUUCUUCUAUUAUUCAUGUGAAGCCCCGAAAGACGAAGAAAGAAAAAUUUCUGGUUGAAAAUGUUUUUGGAGAAUCCGGCCGGAAAUCUGGCCAGUUCUUGGCUAGAUACUUGGCCGGAUUGGCCUGGAGUUUUGAAAAAUUUUUUAUUUCCCACUGCCUUGAAUUCGGCCGACUUUCCGGUUGGAUAUCCGACCAGAUUCUGUCGCGGACAGUUUUCUUAAUAAUUAAGUUUCAUCUUUUGACUUCAUUUGGGGUUUUAAAACCCACUUUUCUUUCUCCUCCAAGCUGACCGAACCUCUUGGGAGCAAAACUAAUAGAGAAAACCUCAUUUCUUUUCCUUUGAUUCCUUCACUAAAUCUUGAGUGGUUUCUUCCAAUUUCUGAUAUCUAUUCCGAUUAACUUCACAUCGAAGGUGAUAGCAAGGUAAGGGUGGAAAGUUUUGAGAGGACAAGGGUUUGCUUUGCCUGUUUCAAGGUGAUUGGAAGGUAUAAUCCUUAGAAGCUUCUUUUGUUCUUUAAUCUUGUGAUUAACUUAUUGAUCUUGAUGAUUUAUGGAGAUUAUUGUGAAUUGGAAGUUGGGAUGAUGAUAUUCACUAAUUUUUAGACUUUAUCUAAGUAUUUCAUCUUUGAUUUUGGCAUGUAUGUGAUCAGUAGAAGUUAUUCUAGUGUUAAGGUGGAAUUUCUAGCCUUAAUUGAUAUUAGUGAUGGUUAUAUGCUACUUUGUGGAGGAUUUCAUGAUUUGAAGUAGAGUUUGAUAUAUUUCAGAAUUUUUGGUGAAUUUUCUGUUUUUAUUUGAUGCUUAAACAUAUGCCAUGGAUUGAUGGCUUAGUGGUGUGUGAAAUGAAACUUGUAUAAGCUAGAUGUGAUUUCCUAAGGAAAAUUUCUGCUUGUGGGGUUAAUUUCAGUUUAGAGUUUCAAAUCUACGCUGUUUUUGCACUGUAUGUUCGACCAUGUUAAAGGCUGAAUCAACCUUUGCCCAAAACAUGAAAGUUGUAGAGAUUUGAGUUAGCUACCUACCUGCAAAAUUUCAGAUCGAUUGGACUGUAACCUAUGAAAUGACCGAAAUACUCGUGACUGCCCUUAAGCCCUGUUUCACGGACAGUUUCCUUUUUUUUUUCUCUAAGAUUUUGCUUUUUGACCGUGAGAAUGUAUAAUUUGGCUUUGGAGGUUUUCAUAAGAAAUGUUGGUAUAUGUCUUAGUUUUGUAACGCCAUAAGAUUUGUUUCAAUCGGAGAAGUGUAACUUCAAUUGUGAUUAAAAUGCCCAAAGGUAAUAGGAACUUGAUGCUUUUAGAAUUCCCUUUGCUUGACAUGAUAUUUGUAAUCUAGAGCUUGGACUUGAUCAAGGCAAUGAUCUAUGAUGGAUGGUUCAUGAGUUGUGGUUGGUGAGUAGUUUCAUAACUAUUUGCAAAGUUACUUUUCAAACUAAUUCUUGCAUUGGUUACUCGAUUGCAUAUCAUUUGUAUUUGUGUGUGUGCCAUGACAUAAUUUGGCUCCAAUGAGUGCUUGAAAAAUCGUGUGCUUAGAACCAACGUCUCCACCACUGGUUAUUUGGAGCACCAAAGGCUCCCUAUUGCUAUUUGAUUGUUAAUUGAUUUGUUUGAGCGUUGGAGUUCUAAGUACGAGGAUUUUACUGGCUCACAAGAGCAAUAAACUUUCAUUUGAUCACUGAAUCAUGCCAACAUCUAUAUGCAUUACUGUGAAAUGUACUUGAUUCUUGAUUUCACUGGUCACUCGCUGAGCUUCUAGCUCACCCCAAAAUAUAUUUUCUCCCCACAGGGCUCGAGGCAAAGGAAGCGCGUGUAAUGAGUUAUUAGUAUGACUGGAUGGUUUAUCUCCUAUAUGGUUGGAAUUUGGAAUUCAUCUUGUGUAAUAGUUAGGAUUGUAUGAAGGUUUGGAAUUGAACGAAUGUAUGUGUACGUUCCACGCUUAGGAACUAGUAUUCGCUUCGCUUAUGAUAUGUAAUUCAUGGAGAAUUUGAUAUAUAUUUGAGAUUUACAUUGUAUUAUAUUUGAAAACUGUAGUGAGUGAGUGAGUCCCGGCGAGAGUUGGGCAGGCGGUCCGCCGAACCCUUUGGUUCGCCUUAGGAGGAGGUGGAGCUGUCACAAUUCGUUUUCAUCCCGAGGCCGCAAGACAGGAGAUAAUUCCUUCUUCAUGCCUUUACUCUUCUUGCAUGAAACAUAUUAGAUUGUUUUAAGAACAAAGUUUGAUAUUCAUGAAUUCUACUAAUUCGCGUGGAAAUUUCUUUAUGAGGCGUGGCUAAGUUCCUCAUUUAGUCGAAGGUCAACUUGAAGACUCAGUUCCAAACGUCUGUGAGAUCGAAUUAUUUUACUUAUUUAUUUUAUUCAUUGGUAUUUGUACGUUUUCUAGUUUAACUUCUUAUAAUUGUUUUGUUAUUUGAAUGUCAAGAGCCCGAUAUUCAAAUUAACCUAAUAAUCUACUGUCAGAUUAAUUGAUUGAAUCCGUAAUUGUUCAAUUCAUUAAUACCAGUGGCGACUAACGUGAUUGGUUCCAUGUUAGGAAAACGCAUGAUCUAAUUUAAACAAACCCUCUAGCAUGUUUGUUAGUUAGGGUUGGGCUUUUUUAAUUCUUAAUGCAAUCUAGAAAUUAAAUCCUACAAUCGUACCUAGGGUUAUUUUUUGGUUAGAGAAAUAGUUAACGGUCGUACCUUGACUAUCGAAAAAGUAAGGAAAGACUGGUUGUUUAUCGCGUGUAUGAUAAUUAUAAUCAAUCUAUUAAUGAGUAAUUGAAUUAUCUUUGCAUCGAUAAUUAGUUGAAUAAACCGUGUCUAAAAAGUUGCACCUUUGGCCAGAGUCGUAUUGGUUAUUGAUUAAUUCUUGUUUAUUUCUAUUAGUUGUUUCAUUAGUUAGUUAGUUAGUUAGUUUACAUUCUCCAAAAAUCCCCCAUACUUAUCCCCAGUCCCUGUGGAUUCGACCCUACUCACCGCUAUAUAUAAAAUUUGUAUUUUUCUUAAGAAUGUAAUUAUUAUUACACAGGCUCGACACCUGUCAUCUUUUCUCCUUAGAGUUGUCUAGUGAGAGUUUUCUUCUCUCCUAAAUUUUUUAGUGGAAUUUUAUUCUCUCCUAAGCAUUCCUAGUAAGAGUUUUUGAUAAUUUUUUCAAUUUUCUUUUAUUACAUUUGAGUUUUUCGGAUUUUGAUUAUUAGAUCUGAAAUUUCUAAGAUCUAUUUAGUAGAUCUCACUAUAAUAUAUGGACUCGAAGCCGUUAAUCAGCAGAUUUGACGAUUACAACCAUGCAUAGAUAUCCAUGGAGCUACAAUUAUUUUAUCUUAUUUUUUAAAUUUGAAGCUUUAUAAUGUAAUUUUUAUUGUUCUUCAUAUCUGUAGUAUCCUUUCUUUAGAUCUGUUAUUUUAUAUUUGUAUAUAUUUGAUGAUAUAAUUUCUACCAUUAGUGUAAAUUUUAAUGAAAAUAUGAUAUUUUAUUAAAAAAAUCAUCUUUGAUCAAAACACAAACGGAAAUUCUUGGCAGGUCAUUAUUUUUCUCAAUCUCACAAAAAGUGAAAAAGAAAGCUUCUUAAGCCUUAGUGGACUUACUAGCAUAUGUACAAUAGGUUAAUGUUUUGAAUUAUUCAUAUUGUUGUUCUAAAUAUAUUUUUCUCUUUUUAUUUGGUUUGGAAGCUAGUGGAUGGAGGGCGGCGGGGUAAUUAAUUUCUCAUUGGCAUUUCAGCUUAUUUUUUUGCUUGACCUUUCGUCGUCAUGUAUUCAGCCAUUUCUGGAUCUUUAUACUUCCCUAAACAGAAAUCUGAAAUGUUAACUUUAAAAAUUAUCACAUAAACAUAUUCUUUUAUUCUAUCUUACUCAGUAGAUAAUUUUACAGAAAAAUCAACUUUACCUACUAAAAAAUCUCAUCUAUCUGAUGCAUUAGCGUUCAAAUUUAGAUAGAUGUGAAAACGUUAAAUUAAAUGGUAUCAUUGAAUUGCUUCAAUCAAAACCAUCUGGCAAAGUGCAUCAGUGGCCAUUAAAUUUUCAUGAAUGUCUCUUUUCGGCCAUCCAAUUUUUUUUUUUUCAUUCAAGAAAUUUCAGUAACUAGUAGUACAGUUUGGCUAAAAUUUUAGCAUAGUACGUAUGUUAGUUCAUGUCAAAAACAGUUUUUAUCCUAAAAGUGCAUGGUUAAAGAAUUACAAGACUAAAGAUAGAACACUUGAUUUAAAUUCCCUGUUUUGUGUGUGUUGUGCAUGGUUGGUCAAAUAUACCUUACAGGAAGAGGCAGCUUAGGGAAUAAAUGAGGUUUUCUUAAAUCUUCUGGUUGAGUGAUCAUGUAUAACACGUCAGCCCAGUCAAGCUUUUGCUCCUCUAAUUUGACAAAGGCCUGCCCAUAUCCUUCUACAUCUCCUGGUUCUUGACCAUAUUUGUUCUUUUCAGCCAUCGGCAAAUUGGAAAAAUCUUGAACUUCUGAUUUCAAUUUCUCCACCAAUGAAGAGCUAACUCCAUGAUUAAUCAACUGCUGACAGUUACUCAUAAGUAAUAGCGUCUGGAUGGAACAGCAUAUAAGCAUAUGUAUACUUUUAACUGAUUUGCACUCGUAAAAUUCAGGUAAAAGAUGAUCAAGUCAUCAACGGAUUCAUUUUUCAUAGGACUUUGAUUACAUUUGAAGAUGGUUUCUUUUUCUUUCGAUACAAAAAAAAAGUAGGAUGGUCUCAAACCUUGAAAAAGGUAACCAUAGAGUUUUGGUCUAGUGGCCACCAAGGGGAAUUUAAAGUUCCUUUCUAGGAUGUUAGUUAGGAUUCAAACCUUACACAAAAUCGACGGUUCAAACAUCGAAAUAACAACACUUGACAAUUUAGUUUUGUAAAAAAGUUGUAUAAUCAAACUAUUUCAAAUAUACAAUAGCUUGUCACACAAAUAUAUGUUUGUCAUACAUUCAAUCCUUGUAUAUAUAACUAGAAAAAACCCCACUCCUUGCAAGCAGAAUGCAGCUUCUGAAGCUCCAAAUCACUUACCUCCAUAGCAGAACCGUUAGAGAUGGUUGGAUAUUGGUCUUUGUCGGGGCGUAUGUAACGAGUUGGAACAGAAAAGGGAUUUUUCUUGGCCAACUCUUGGACAAAAGGAACAUUCAGAGAUCCCCCAAGCUUUCUUGUCUUGGGAUCCACGAUUGUGGUUCUUUUCAACUUCAAAGCUCUAAUUCUUGUAUCUAUCCACUGAAUCCCUAGUUCAGAAUAUAUAUAUUUUUUCGCACCAGAUGUUUCAUUAAUCCAACAUUGUUCAUGUGAGAACUCGAAAAUUUUCUUAUUCUUAUCUUAUUUUUCUGACUUAUUUAAAUAAUUAUUCAUCCGUUUUCUUCGAAUAAUUUAUUUCAACCAUUUUAAAUCUAUUUACAUGGAACAAUGUCUCAAUUAUACUUUUAAAACGUCCUGUUAGUAAAUUUAAUUUUUCUGCGGCUCGUUUAGCAAGAAAUAGCGAAUACACAUUUUUCAAUAGAAUAUUCGAUCCGAGAGUACAAUUAUCUUGAAAAAUUAAGAAUGAUCAAUAGUAGACUAAGAAAAGUUAAUUAAGGGAUUAGAAGUGGGUGAGUUCAAAAAUUUCGCCUUAUCGCAUGCGAGUAGAAAGUUCGCGUAUUGCGCGAAGGAAUGAUAAAGUGGAGAUUUGAGAAAGUUAUACUAGACUCAUAAGAGUGAGUAAAUACAGUGUUAAAGGAAUUAUAGUUGAGGAUUAGUAUACAAGUGAAACAAAUAAGAGAGAAAAGUUGUAGUACGGGACACUAUUUGAACCCUAUUCAAAGUUGACUUUUGCAAAGCUUUUGGCCACAAUUUCUUCAAGCUUCCAAGACAAGAUUCACACAACUCAAACCACUCACUCUCUCCUCUCUUCGGUCGGCUGAAACAGCAAAGGAAAAGGAAGGAAGAAAGCUUCUUCAUCUUGCUCCAAAUCUUGUUCCAUUUCCCUCACAAAUCUUCACCCAAAUUACAUACUACUUGGAGAUUAGUUCUAGCUUGGAGAAAGACAUCAUCUUGUAGAAUUUCUUUGAGGUUUUGUGGUGAAAAAAAUUCUGGUAUCAUCUAGGGUUCAAGAGGUAACCCUUUACCUUCUUCAAUCUUUCUAAUUUCUUCAAGAAUGAAGCUUAGUUUGCAUGGGUUUACAACCCUAAGCAAGACAUAAGUUAGAGGACUUGAGGAAUUUCAAUUCUUGUUUUAAUCUCUAGGCUAGCAAUCUUGAGGUGGAUUAUAGGUAGCUGACUUAAGGAUUAAAAUGCUUGAUUGUUGUGUUUAUGUGUUAUAUAAGAGAUUUAUAGUUAGAAUAUGGAGAGAAAGUUGGAAAAGGUUUGAGAUGUGAGCUGGCCGAAACUGUCCUGUGGUUAUCUUGUUUGCAUUUCGAAUUUUUUUUGAAAUGUAUCAUUUUGAACCUAGUUUCCAACGCCACCAAUCAUUCCUAAUUUGAGUUUGUAUUGAGUGAGAUGUGGUCUGAUUUCGAAAGUGCAACAAAGCUGGAAACUGGAAACUUUUUCCUUUCUUGUUGGCCGAAUGGUCAAAUCUGCUUUGGGAUGUUUUGCCAUGAAAAUUUCUAUGUCAAUUUCUUAUCAAAUGUUUCUAGAACCUUGGUUUCAAAGAAUUGGGAUUGAUUUCAUUGGACAAAAACCUUUGGAAAGAAAGAAAGAGUGGGUUGACAGAUUUGCUUUGAAAAUUUCACGAACUUUAGUCAUUUUGUUAACUGCCUUCCCGUGUGAGUUUUUGCCUAAAACUUGAUAGGAAAGUCCAAAUAUGGAAGUUUAAGUGUACCAAAUUUAGUAUAAAUUCAAUAUCAUUUCGAUAUCCAAAUGAUGCCUCAAACAUUGCUCUUCAAAUCUGGAAAUUCACUGUUUUUUUUUUGUUUUUUUAGAGUGUAAACAUUUUUUUGUUAUUUAUCGGAAGAACAAAAUUACAAAUGCCAAUGCUCGAAUAAAAAACUACCCCUCCCUCACAACAACCUGGCGGAGGGAAGGCAUACCUAGCCUAUCUAGAAAUAAAGCCCCUCGCGCUAACCGGGGUAACUCCGAUGCCGCCAAGUAUAUAUCGUCACGGGCCCGCUGACAUCCAGUAUUCGCCAACGUAUCGGCGACCUGGUUCGCCUGACGGUAACAGUGAAGAAUCCGUGGAAAGGAAGACGCUACCCCCAUCAACUGCUGCACCUCCGUGUGGAUGCCCCAUGGGCAAUGAGCUAAACGAUUCAAAAUGCGGACUAAUGUCAACGAGUCCAUUUCAACGUCAAAGAUGGCGAUGCCCGCUGGAGGCACAAAUUGACCCCACCCAACAGGGAACGGGCCUCAGCCUGCACACUUGAAGCCAAACCGAAACAACAAGAAAAUGCCAGCACCAUCCUCCCCUCCCAAUCACGCAACACCCCCCUCCUCCACUCCAACUAGGAUUACCCUUAGAACAACCGUCCGUGUUAAGUUUUAGGCUUCCGUGGAGAGGCCGCACCCAUUUUACCAGCCUAUGUGAGAUCCCUGCUUUCCACUUUGAUAUGGCCAAAUAAAAAUGGACCCACGACCAUGACGGUACCCGGCAGCCCGGAAACUGGAUCCUGAACAACUGUAUCAUCUCGGAGAAGAUCAAAUGGCAUACUUGAGCCCCCACAAUCCUCUUGCUCUCGUACUUCACCCCGUUGCAAGCCUUCCAAAGAUGCCAGCAGAUCAACAAAGGGACAACCUGGUGGACAAACUUCAACAACUUAUUCUGAUGCCGCCCCUCCCACCAGGCUGCCAGACAUAUGCGAAACGAAGACCCUGACCAACCUACCCAAUCGGAGCCCCAAAGAACUGCCACACAAACCGUGCCAUAGCCCCAUCACAAAACACAUGCUCCGUAGUCUCAAUCUCAGGAGAUGUACAACACGAACAUCGAGACGGUCCCUGCACCCUCAACUUCCAUACGAAACAGUCCAAGGGGAGGCGAUCUCGCAGCAGGCGCAAGAGAAAAAAUGAAACUCUCAACGGUACCCCUAGGUGCCAAAUGCGCUUGAAAAGAGGCGAAGGCCUAGCAUGAUGCCGGACCAAGGAGAAAGCUGUCUUGAGACUAAAACGGCCCGAUGGCUCCGGCGGCCAAACCAUUAGGUCAGGCAGCGACCCUCCAGGUGGGUGCAUUUGGCCAAUCUCUGCAACUAUAUCCGGCGGUACCCAUUGUGAAAUCCUGCAAACGUCCCAGGAACCGCCCUGCACAAAGUCCGCCACCUUAUGGUCUGACACACUAUCCAAUCGAUUCGCCAAAUGCCCAGAACCUAGCUAAUUGUCAAACCAAAAAUUCGCAUUCCCGGACCGGAUGAUCCAUCCAAUGUUCCUUUCUGCCAAGGCUCGAACUUUCCCCAUCCUUCUCCACCCCUCUGAUCCCUUCUCCGAAAACACCAGGUUAGGAUGCACUACCCGGCAAAACUUUGCAUGCAUAAAUGAGGCCCACAAGGACGACUUGGAUCGAAAAUUCCACCAUAAUUUGAUGGAGAAAGCCCGGUGAAUAUCUUCCAGCAGGCGGAGCCCAACCCCUCAUUCUUCACGCUCAACACAUAAAUCUUUCCACCGAAUCCAAUGGUGUUUGGGGCCGUUGUCAUCCGACCCCCAUAGGAAAUUAGCGAAUAUACCCUCCAGCUCCAUGAAAAUAGCUUUGGGAGGUGAAGCCGCCAUCAACAGGUAUGUUGGCAUAGCAGAGAGGACAUGUUUCAACAACACAAUCCUCUCUCCCUGUGAAUAUCUGGAAAUUCACUGUUAAAGUAGUGAAAAUUAACCGACUUUAGGCUAUUUUAUCUUGACGCUCAAAACUCUGAAUUUAGUUUCGUUUGUUGUGUUUGAAAACCUAUUUGAAACUCUUAUUGUGUUACAAAUUUCAAAGACUGAUUCGUUUUCUAUGAAUUUUGCUGAAUUUCCAAAAAUGGCUGAAAAAUCAAGACUGGUUCAAACAUGUCCUCUUGGAACUGAAAUUUUGAGUUGAAAAAUGAGUACUUUCCGUUUAGAAUCUUGAAAAAAUGUCUUCUAGGAACUUUUAGCAUUUUGGAUCUAGUUUCCAACGUAAUAAAGUUUUUCCAUAUUUGGAUGUACCGAACUCAAGAUCUGAUUUUACCAAGUUUAUCGCGCAGAGCUAAAAAUUCAUGAUUUCUUGGAAAAUGAGUUUUUGAGAACUUUUCGUUGUCUUUCGAUAUUGAUCAUCCAUUUUAAACUCAUCUUCAUGGAGGAUGCAAGUUUCUCUUAUGAAUUUAAAUCCUUACUUUUGAAUCUCGAUUUUCGAGAUAUUAAAGUUCUUUUAAGACAUUGUCUUAGUAUUGCGCAAGUGUAUAUUCUUUUUUGUUUGGCAAGAAGUUUGUAAGUAUUUGUGAGUGAUAGAUAAUUGUUAUUUCUUCAGGUGCUCAAGAAGAUUUUGAAGAGAAUCUCGAAGCCAACCACUAAAGGCUUAUUUGCUUACUUACUCACUUUUUGAUUUGGUGAGUAUCAAGUGUAUGGAGUGUUGCUACGUGCUUAAAUGUUCUCAUUAAUUGAGUAUUCUAAAAGUGCCAAAUCGAGUAUGUACUUUACUACACUCGUUCUCUUUUAAAUGAAUUAUAUUUGAAUUAUACGAAGUGAAUUUGCUAAGUGCAUAAAGUGAAGUGUUGCAAUAGUGAAUCAUGCUAUGUUUGAAUGAAUGUCGAUUGGAGUGAAUCUUAUCAGCUUAUAUUGAUAAUAGUGGGGGACGCCUAAACUCAUCGGCCGACCUUGCGACUCGAACCGGCAUAGGCUUGGUCGUGAACCUUGAUGAGCCAUGAGAAAAAAUUGUAUAAACUUGAUCUAUUUGAGAGAUCUCACUUGGCAUAUUCGAGUAGUAUCGCCUUAUAUAAAAGAAGUACGGAGUAGGGGGUGUGACAGCCCCACCUCACCCUAAGGCGAACCAAAGGGUUCGGCGGACCGCCUGCCCAACUCUCGCUAAGACUACUAAGACAGUUAUACACAACUCAAAACGUGCCGGAAUACAGUAGCGCGCUUAAACAAAGCAAAAAUCACAAAAUCGAAAAAUAAAAAAAAAUCGAAACGGAAAGUGAAUAAUGCCUGCCACGUCACAAUCCGACCACGGCCCAAUCAAAUACAAGUAAUUUCAUAUAAUCCUUGAAAUGGAUAUAUACAAACCAAACAUACCACAUGAACAUGAGUACACGCUUUGAUAAACCACAUUCGCAGUUUUACAAAUCAAAAGGGAACAUUUGAAUCCAAGUACAAUUAGAGUUCCAACCAUUGAGGAGCUAUACAAAAUAUCUAAACUAGCUCAACUUAUGCUUCAAAAUCACAGUUCUAAAAGUAGAUCCCUGUAAGGAAAAUAAGGAUAACGGAACGGGGUGAGUUAGAAGCUCAAUGAGGUACAAAAAAUAAUAACAGUCAAGAACCAAGGAACUUCAUGCUCAAUUAAUCACAUAAGUAUACCAAAUAAGGAGAUGAGCAAAACAACUUAGAUAGAAAAGAUACAGGUGGCUCUCAGGAGCCAAAUCCCUGUUACAGUACUUGAUCCGACUACGUUGACCCUCCGUCAACUUUCAAAUAAGGAAACCAGUCCAAUAGAACGCCACUUUAACGCCAAAUCCCGUUCACCAAUCAUACCCCCUUACCGGGCCCGAACGCCAAACAAGAAUGAAAGUGGUAAUAUUCGAGUAUACCGGAAUCAAGAGUUUCAAUACUUAAAGAUUCCCUAGGAACAGGCACUCAUGGAUUGUGAAAUACCUCGACCAAGCCCUUAUUGGCUCGAUUUAAUUAACUCCCCAUGAGAUUGAGCUCAAGUUUAACAGGAAGGUCGUUGGACACACUUCCAAACGACAUUAUAACGAGCGCAAGUAACAGGUUCAAGUUCAUAAUAAGUACAAGUAAUAGAUUUCAGUUUAUACAACACAGGCAAGAGAACGAGUGUGAUAAAGUACACCCUCGUCUCAUUCAAAAUAACAGAGUUCAUAGUUAUCUAUGUCACAAAUUUCAAGUAUAGAUGAACCAAUUAAGCAACAAUGCAGGGGAGUGGUACACUGACCAGAUCAAACAAGGAUAAUUUAAAAAAUUGCCUUCCCAAGUGUGGCUUUACUCGCCGGCACCUCCUAGAACAAUCAAAGGCAAACACUUAAGACUUGACUCCAAGACCUAAUAAAUGGAAUUCGCAAGUAAAACUCGGUUACAAGUCAUGUGCCUAUCCAAAUGAACCAUUAAUGUAAAGCGAAGAGGUGACUUUGGAGUGAAAAGAUAACUGUGAGAGCCCGAAAUUUUCUUAUUUUCUAGGCAUUUAUUUUAGUCUUUUACGUAUAAUUUCCAUAUUUUCUUUCUUAUAUGAAAAUUCUGAAAAUUUUUAUGAGGACAUAUGAUUUUUACAUUUUUUUCCAUAUAAGUUAUUUUCUGUGUUAAAGGUGGUGUACAGUGGAUGCGAGACCUACUAGUGCGAUAAGUGCGGUAAAUGUGGUUCAUUUGGAGAAGCUUUGUAUACAAGGAUUAUAUUACAUGGUGUUAUGAGAUAAUUAGGGGUUAGCUAGUUAAUUAAGUCUUGCAAGACAAAAGAAAUGAGAUAAGCUUGAAAUGGGCACAUGUUGCAUUGUGAUUGGAGGUUGGCAUUUGACUAGUCUUUCUUUACCUUUACUAAACUAAUUUAGACCAAAAAUCAUCUUCCAUUUCCUCCUUCUUGGCUGAGCAACAAGAGAGAAAAGAGAGAGAGAGCUUCUUCAAUUUUCUUUCAUUUCUAGCUUGAAUCUUGCAAACCUACUGGUUAAAUUCCAAAUUUCUCCACAAAAGUGAGUUGCUAAGCUAGUUUAAGGUGAUGAGUGGAGCCAUUUGUGAAGAAUCUUGUUUCUUGGAGUUGCAAAGGUGAGUUGUUAAAUAUCUUCCCUCUCAUGUUACUAAUGAUCAAUUAAGGAUUUCUAGUGGUAGAGCAUGUCAUUAUGUAGAUUAUUUUGUGACUUAUGGUUGAGUUGUUCAAUUUUUCCUAUUUAUUAAGGAAUUUUCUGUUUUAUAUGGUAUCUUGUGGUUGGCUAUGGAUUGAUAGUCCUAUAUGAAGGAAUUUGGAGCCUCUAUAUGCUUAUUGUGGUUUAUUGUAGAAAUUUCCAGGUUUUAGAGGGAUUUUCAGUUCUAGGGUUUCCAAAUGACCCUGUUCUACCCAGUUCUAUUCGGCUAGGUUAGAGGCCAAAUUAUCCUUAGAUUAAAACAUGAAAGUUGUAGGAAAUAAUGUUUUAUAGUUGCCUGUAAAAUUUCAGUCCAAUACGAGUUGUGUAACCUGAGAAAAGAUAGAAAUACCGGAGACUGCCGUAGGAAGAGUUCGCUGGACAGGGUGGACAUUUCACCCAAUCUGACCGUGACUUUUCACCCUGAUGCUUACCGAAUUAGAUUCUGGCCAAAACAUGAAAGUUGUAGUGUUCAACGGCCCUAGAAACACCUUAAUUGGGCUUCGGUAGCCUGAAUUAGGGUCGUUUAACCAUAUUGUGGUUAGUUAACCUGUUCGUGUGAUGCUAGUUUGGUACAUUGAAUUUGUGGCCUAGCUACCCUACAAAUUGGACUGAGUGGCCUACUUCAAAAUUGUAACCCUUUAUCAUAGCUUCAAAAUGGUGUAAAUUUCACCCCAAUCCGAUAAGUGUAGCUCCAGUUGUGUCCGUUCCGCUAAAUGACGUCAAAACUGUCUUUUGGUUUUAGGGCAUAAGCUUCAUUUCCGGACUCUCCCUCACUUGACUAUGCACUUAUACGUUCUAUUGGGCCUUAUUUUUGGUAGUGUGUGGAUUGGAUUUGACUCUUGUUCGAGUCUUAAUUGUGAUAUUCUUGUUAUAUAGGUCGUGCCGGUGAUCCGACGCCUACGCUUGAAGCUAACUUGUGAAUUUGCUUACUUACCUUGGUGAGUGUACUAUUAUAGGUCUACUGCUUAAAUGGUUGUUUAUACUUGUUAUGUGAACUUGAAUGGCUUGAAUGAGACGAGAGUGUACUUUAUCGCUCUCGAUCUCUUAUCUGUAUUACUGGUACUGUCAACUGUGAAAUUGUAUACAUGUGUGAUUUGACAUGGCUUGGGGUUUUGCCCAACAACUUAACUGUACUAUCUGAACUCAUACCCCAUUGGUCCUUAGUCGAAUCGAGUCGGCAAGGGCUUGGGCGAAUCGAUAACGAACCUUGGGUUCACUGUAGUCGAGUGGAGUGUUAACUCCUUGAUCUUAUGAUAUACUCGAGUAUUACCCUCUGUGUUACUGUGAGGUGUUCGGGCUCGGUAAGGGGGUGUUCGGUGGAAGGGAUAUGGAGUGAAGUGGCGUUCUACAGGUUGUUCUUCUCUUUAACGGUUGACGGAGUGUCAACGGGUUGGAGAUCAAGUGUGGCAAGUGGAAAGUGGCUCUUGAGAGCCAAUUGUUUCCUUUUACAUUGACUUGCUUGUUUAUGAGCUUUGGAAUCACUAUGUGUUAAUACUUGCUUACUGGUGUGUCUUGUUGGUACCUCACGAGCGUAAGCUCGCCCUUCGUUACUUUGUUUUCCUUACAGGGAAUAACCUUUUGGAAACUAUGAUGUUUUGAAGCCGAGUUGAGCUAGUUUUAAUAUUCUUUUGUAUAGCUCCUUGAUAGUUGGGAAAUCCAUACAUGUACUUGGAUCCAACAUUUCUUUUGAAAUGUAAAUUUGUAACUAUGCGUAUAUAAAAGUGUUUGGUAAUGUUCAUGUGCUAUUUUGGUUUGGAAAUGUCCCUUUCUUGGAGUAUAUAAAGUUAUUGCACUUAUAUAGGUUUCGAACAGGUAUGGCACUAUUCAUGUGCGGCUCCAUUUUUCCCAUUUUCAUUUCGUGAUUUUGAUUCAUUGAGCAUGCUAAAAUAUUCCGGAACGUUUUAGUUGUAUACAACCGUUCUAGUAGUCCUGGCGAGAGUUGGGCAGGCAGUCCGCUAACCCCUUUGGUACGCCUUAGGGGAAUGCUGGGCUGUCACAAUAACAAUUAGUCCUAAAGGCAUGAACAACCUCAAAACCCUACCUACAAUGAUUGACCAACUCCAAAUUUGAAGUAGAAAAUGAAAGUAAGAUCACUACUAGGAAAACAGGAUUUUCUAGUUUCGCGCAACCCUAUAUGAAAAAUCAUAUCUCAUGUUUUGUAAGUCCAAAAUUAAUAAAAGUUAUACCGUUGGAAAAUAUAUUCAAAGGGCUAUAACUUUCCAGAAAACACCAUCGUAAGAUUCAAAACGUAAGUCAGUCAAAUUCAAGCCUCAAGUAGCUACUUUAUCUAGUGAAAGCAGAAUAGGUACAAUAUUUCAGUCAACUUUGAAAAAUCACCAUAAAUUGUACAGACAGAAACAGGGUCUGAAAUUUACACGGUUUAUAGCCCUACGAAUCUAGUUUAAAACGAAACAAACGGAACUCAAUUCCGAUUUUCCUACAUCAAGAUAUAGUAGAUUCCCCAAGACUGCUCAAGGCCCUGCGAAAAUUUCAGCAGCACUUCCCCUAGAUUUCCGUACUUCACCAUGCUACCAUUAACCACCAAAUUUCAUAACAAACAAUCACCAUUGCACAUACAAAUCAUAGUCUAUGAAACACCCUUAAGAUACAACCAAUUGGUAGCUUCAAAACUACCCCCAAUCAUGGUCAAAUUAAAACCCUAAAGCUGAAAUUCUCCGUACAAAGCGGAAAUUUUUCGCAAAUAGCUAUAAUUAGCGCACCAAAGCUUCAUUCUAGACCAAAACAAGCCAUCAUCCAUGGCCAACCAACAUUAAACAUAUAAAACAGAAAAAUUAUGAAUAAAUAUAAAAAUUCCACAAUCUCUACCAAAAGUCAUGAAAUAACCCACAAAAUCACAUAACUAACCACCAUAAGUCAUGAAUCAGCCAUUAUAGGAACCAAACAAGGAAUCUUUACACACCAUACCUUGAUACCUCCCAAAAGAUUAUAGCUUAGGUCUCUUGCUUUCCAAACAACUCCACCAACUUCCUCAAACCUACCUAGCUAAGGGUUUUCAUGGAGUAAUCUCAAGAUUAAUCGGUUGGAUUGCAAGAUUGAGCAAGAUUGAGAGCAAAAGAGUUGAAUGUUUCUUUUCUUUUCUAUCUUGAGAGAGUCGGCCACAAGAGUGAAGAAAAUGAAGAUUUUUUGAUCAAUUUUGGGAUAUUAGUAAAGUACAUGAAUAGUGGUCAAAGUCCAAGAUUAAAUCACAAGGUGACACUUGCCACCUUUUUGGUUGAUAAUUAUCCUUUGGUCUCUUCUAUACUAAUCUAUCUAGGAAACCUCUAAUUAUCUCAUAGCACCUAGUAAAUUACUCCCGGUAUACAAAACUUAAUCUAAUUGGCCGAAUUUUACCGCACUUACUGCACUAGCGGGUCCCACAUCCGGUAUUCACUCUUAAUUUCUCAAAAACUAACUAAUACUAGAAAAAUAAUUUAAAAACUAUAUUUACUCAUAAAAAUUAUCUAAAAAAUUUCCUAGUAACGAAAAUGUAGAAAAGACAUGCAAUUAAAUAAAAUAAAGUCUAGAAAAUUAGAAAAUGCCGGGUUCUCACAGGGGGUGUAACGGUGAUCUGGAGUGCGAAGUAAGUGGGGUUCUACGGACCUAUAACCUACCCGGUUGACGGAGUAUCAGCUCGUGGAGGUACUAGAUCGAGCAUUGGCAGAGCAAGUGGAAUAUAGCUCCUGAGAGAUUCCGUAUCCUUAUCAAGUAUGUUUUAUUGUUAGUUGUGAACUAGUUGAAUGUUAUAACCUUAAUUCUUGUAUAAGUGUAAUCAUUAUUUGAACUAUGUGUUUUGCAUGUUUUUCUUAGCCUCACUGAGUAUUAACUCAUCCCAUUAGAUUUGUUUUCCUUAACAGGAGCCGAAAUGGAAAAAAUUAUGGAGAAGCCGACUUGAUGCACUUUUGAUUAGGGUUUUGAAUGUAAUUGAUUAGACAGCUUUUGAAAGUUGUAUAUUUGGGGAAAGUGAUGUACUUGGUAUGUUCUAAUGUAGGAAUUGAAUAUUUAUUAAGGAAGCGACCUUUUCUUUGUAGUUUCGACUCUUAUUAUUAAUUGUUAUCCAUAAGUUUGAGUUCGUCUUGUAGUGAGUCCUGACGAGAGAUAGGCAGGCGUCCCGCCGUUACUCUUGGAUUCGCCCUUGGGAGAAGUGGGGCCGUCAUAGUUGGUAUCAGAGUUUAGGUUUCAGAUCUUUGUAGUGUAUUUUAGGCUAAAAGUUUAGGAUAUCGGACUAUGGGUUUAGUUGCGUGUUAAGUGCAAUGUGACUUUGGUGCUUGAUGUUUUAACGAGUAAUAUUGAAGUGUUUGUGUUUAAUUAGAAGGAUGCUGAAUAUUAGUGUUUUAUUUUUGUUGGAGUUAAAUCCUUAUACGUUUAUGAUUUAAUGUAUUGCGGACUCUACUCUAAUGGUGAUUCCAUCUCUUUAAGUUGUUCUUGAGUUGAGGACUUGAAGCAACCUUGAUUUGAAAAGUUUCUUGAUGUUGUAGCACUAUUUUGCUUACACAACACUAUAAGACUUUAAUCUUCGAGUUGUGUUGGAGAUGAGUCAAGAUUAUGAAUUUUAAAUGGCCUUCUGAUGAGUUUAAGGGUUGGAUACCUUGAACUUGCAAAUGAGACAUCUUUUGCAUUCCCUUUUGGUUUGACUUACUACCCUAACCUGUAUAGGAAUUGUCACCUUGAAUUUAGUGAGGAAAACUUGUAUUCAUUUGAAGUUUUAGGCUAAGAAUUUAGAAAGUAGUUUAAGCUUUUGGAUGGAAUUUGGAAUUUAUAAUUAUUCGAAUGAUGUGGCCUCGUAUCGUGGAUUCUUUUAGUUUUGUCCCUAAUUAGGAUUAUGGUUUUCCUUCUUUUGAUCUUGCCUAGGAUAGUAGGGGUAGUGCAUGCCGUGGGGUCUUUUGUAUUUUGCUUGCAAGAACUCCUAUAUUUUGAGACACUUAAUUGCCUAUAUCCUCUAUUUGAUAUAUUUGGAUUGUUUUGUAAUCUCCCGACUCGUACUAUGAAUUUUGGUAUAUGUAAAGAAUCAUGCUUUAAUUCUAAAUAUUUUUGUAACUUAUAUACGCAUUAAGUUCUUAUAUGCCUAAUUAUUCUUUUUCUUACGCCUAUAGACUUAUAUUAAGUAUGGCUCGGCGUGCACUCCUGAGAAAGAUGAGGGAUCACGGAAAGAAAGAUUGAUGGAUGGUUUUAUGUAAUUCAAUAGGAUCCUAGUGUUGGAUAUGAAUCGGAAAUGAACGAGAAGAUUAGAACUACCAGUAUUAUAAUUGAUUGACCUAGUUGGGUACCUAAUGAGGUUCUCCCCUAUGAAGUUUUAAUAAUUGUUCUAUACGUAUCUUGUGAUUGGUCCUGUGGACAUGUUUUAAACUUUUAUGAACGUUUGAAAUCCCAAAAUAUUGUGUUGGUUAUUCGUGAGGUGACUUGAACUCAAUUCCUGCUUGUUUUAAUUGAAUAAAAGUAUUUUCAGAUUCUGCUCGGCCAUUACUAUGUAUAUAUCCACUUACCUGUUAUCCUUUUUCCACAAAUAUUUAUAUAUAUAUGUACAUACAUUUUGAACCCGUAUGAGAACCAAAAAUCAGGCAGAGCUUAGAUUCGGAUCUUUUCUAAGGACUAAGAAUGAAAUUUUUUUGUGGAUUAGAGAGUAAAGAUGACCGAGUUUUAUGUACCAUUAGAGUUAGCUCUUGGAUUAGAUGUGAAUGGUGGUAAAGGUGUUGGAUCGAAAUUUACGCAUAUAUGAACCUGCAUGUUUACUUAUCUUUCUUAAAAGCAUUUUCCAAAAUAUACGUUUUACUAAAACGCAGCUCUUAACUCGAGACUUUGAGGGAAUUUUUAAAACACCCUCCAUGUAUAUGUUAUUAUAUUAUAUAUGUAAUUUAAUGUGUGUUUUAAUAUCCACGCGUUGAGUCCUAUGGUUAAUCUUCUUAACUGUAUUUGAGGAAUUUGAAAUAUGUAUUGAUAAUUGUGGCAAAAACAUUAUUUGAAGUUUCUUACUAAGAAAAUUUAGUUUCGGACCAUGAAGAAAAGUUUGUAUUUUUAACUCUAAUUUUGAGAUUUUGAAUCGCAUUUUGCCACAUACAUAUCCAAAAUACAUUAAAGCCCUCGAUUAUAUCACACAUGUUAUGAUUGAUUUGAUUUGGACAAAAAUUUGGUUGGUCGCUUGGGACAAAAGAAACCCGAUCAUUACUAAAAUUGUUGAUUUUGAAAAUCGAAUGCUAGUAAAUGGUUUUGGACAAAUUGGGUCCAAAAAUUUUGGUAAGGCUAGUCUUCUGUUGAAAAUAUAUCCUUCUAUUUAAGUUUUGAACUACAAGAUUGAAUCAUUUACCUAGAGUUUUAUUUGACCUUGGAGCUAACUAUUCUUGUGUAAACCCUUGUUUCGUGAAUGGUAUAGAUAAAGUGUGAUCGCUUACCCUAUGAUUUGGAAGUUAGGACUCCUACGGGGGAAUUGGUGUCUAAUUGUUACUGCAAAUAAUGGAAAGUGAAUUUUUGGCAGAUCUAGUGGACCUAGCAAAUAAGGGGUAUGAUGUGAUAUUAGGAUGGAUUGGCUAGAUAGAUGUGAAAAGUAAGCUGGCAUCAUCUGCUCUUGUAUCAGGAAUCCAAGCUAGAAAAUUUAUACAUACAGAAGCAUGAGAAUAUUUAGCUUUUCUUAUAAAUACACCUGGAGAUAAGAUGAAAUUGAAAAAUGUACUAGUGGUGACAGAUCUAUUAGGAGAGCAAUGUACGUCUUAUUUGAAAGAGGAUUCAUUAGGGAGAGUGAAUUCCGUGGAGGGUGCCUAUGCUCUUUGUUUUAAAAAAAAAAGAUAGAAAUUUAAAACUAUGCGUGAAUUUUCGAGACUUGAAUAAGGGGACCAUUAAGAAUAAAUACCCUUUUUGCCUUAUAUAGAUGAAUUGUUUGACCAAUUAUAAGGAGCCAGACUAUUUUUUAAGUUGGAUCUGAGACAAAACUAUUAUUAGUUAAGGAUCUUAGAAAGAGUUAUACCUAAGAUUGCUUUUGCUUCAAGACGUGGCUAUUUUGAGUUUAUAGUCAUGUCUUUUGAAUUGGCUAAUGCACCGGUAGUUUUCAUAAACUUGAUACACUGAGUUUUAAACUCUAUUUGGAUUAGAUUGUGGUGAUAUUCACAGAUGAUAUAUUAGUAUAUUCUAAGUCUCGAGAAAAUCAAGAACGACAUUUGAGGAUAGUUUUGCAAACCUUGAUAGAGCAUUGACUUUUGCUACGUUUCACAAGUAUGAAUUUUGGGUCAGAAGAAGCUCACCGUUCUAAGCAUAUGCUGCACCCUAGAGGUAAUAAGGUGUACCAGGAUCUGAAGAGUCUUUAUGGUUGAGAUAAAUGAAGAGGAAAACCGAAAGAAGUAUCCAGAGCUAUUUCUGAAUCAAUGUAUAAUUUCAAGGACGAAUUUCCUUUAAGGGGGGAAGGAUGUGAAGACCCGAAAAUUUUCUUAUUCUUAUCCUAUUUUUUUGGCUUAUUUAAAUAAUUAUUCACCCAUUUUCUCCGAAUAAUUUAUUUCAACUAUUUUAGAUCCUUUAACAUGAAAUAAUGUCUCACUUAUAUUUUUAAAACAUUCCGUUAGUAAAUUUAAUUUUUCUGCGGCUCGUUUAGCGAGAAAUAGUGAAUACAUAUUUUUCGAGGUAAUAUUCGAUCCGAGAGUACAAUUAUCUUGAAAAAUUAAGAAUGAUCAAUAAUAGGCUAAGAAAAGUUAAUUGAGAGAUUAGAGGUGAGCGAGUUCAAAAAUUUCGCCUUAUCGCAUGUGAGUAGAAAGUUCAUGUAUUGCACGUAGGAACGAUUAAGUGGAAAUUUGAGAAAGUUAUUCUAGAGUCAUAAGAGUGAGUAAAUACAGUGCUAAAGGAAUUACAGUUGAGGAUUAGUAUGUAAGUGAAACAAACAAGAGAAAAAAGUGGUAGUACGGGACACUAUUCGAACCCUAUUCAAAGUUGACUUUUGCAAAGUUUUUUGCCACAAUUUCUUCAAGCUUCCAAGACAAGAUUCACACAAUUCAAACCACUCUCUCUCUCCUCUCGUUGGCCGGCCGAAACAGCAAAGGAAAAGGAAGGAAGAAAGCUUCUUCAUCUUGCUCCAAAUCUUGUUCCAUUUCCCUCAAAAAUCUUCACCCAAAUCACAUACUAUUUGGAGAUUAGUUCUAGCUUGGACAAAGGCAUCAUCUUGUGGAAUUUUUUGGAGGUUUUGUGGUGAAAAAAAUUCUGGUAUCAUCUAGGGUUCAAGAGGUAACCCUUUACCUUCUUCAAUCUUUCUAAUUUCUUCAAGAAUGAAACUUAGUUUGCAUGGGUUUAUAACCCUAAGCAAGAAAUAAGUUAGAGGACUUGAGGAAUUUCAAUUUUUGUUUUAAUCUUUAGGCUAACGGUCUUGAGGUGGAUUGUAGGCAGCUAACUUGAGAAUUAAAAUGCUUGAUUGUUGUGUUUAUGUGUUAAAUACGUGAUUUAUGUUUAGAAUACGAAGAGAAAGUUGGAAGAGGUUGAGAUGUGAGCUGGUCGAAACUGUCCUGUGGUUAUCUUGCUUGCAUUUCGAAUUUUUGUUGGUUAUUUGAGUAUGAAAUGCAUGGAUAUAUGUUUGUACAAAGUGCCUUGCAACAAUUAUUUCAUUUGGUUGCACAAAAUUAGAGUUUUCGAAAAUGGAAGAAAUCUGGAAUUUGUGAUCAGGAGGUCCAGACAGUAGCUCUUUUUUCGAACAUAACUUGUUGUACAAAAUUCGAAAUAGAGUACAGUUUAUGGCAUUUGAAACUAAACAUUUAUAGCUUUCUAACGAUAUAAAAGUCACCUGCUAGUUCGAACUGAGUGAACCGUAGUGAUUUAACAAAGUUGACGGUCCUGUUGUGACUCUCUGUCCGAGAGGAAUGGAAAAGCUAGCUGCAUCUUGUGGCUUAAUAUUCUAUUGCUUGUGAACUGAUUUUGGAAAUGACUCUUUCUAAUGAAAUGGGAAAUUUUGAACCUAGUUUCCAACGCCAUCAAUCAUUUCCAAUUUGAGUUUGUAUUGAGUGAGAUGUGGUCUGAUUUCAAAAGUACAACAAAGCUGGAAACUGGAAGCUUUUCCCUUUCUUGUUGGCCGAAUGGUCAAAUCUGUUUUGGGAUGUUUUGCCUUGAAAAUUUUAGUGCCAAUUGCUUAUCAAAUGUUUCUGAAACCUUGGUUUCAAAAAUAGAGUGAAUUGGGAUUGAUUUCAUUGGACAAAAACCUUUGGAAAGAAAGAAAGAAUGGGUUGGCAGAUUUGUUUUGAAAAUUUCACGAACUUUAGUCAUUUUGUUAACUACCUUCCCGUAUGAGUUUUUGCCUAUAAUUUGAUAGGGAGGAAGUUCACAUAUGGAAGUUUAACUGUAUCAAAUUUGAUAUAAAUUUAAUACCAUUUCGAUAUCCACAUAAUGCCUCAAACUUUGCUCUUCAAAUCUGGAAAUUCACUGUUCAAGCACUGAAAAUUAACUGACUUUAGGCUAUUAUAUCUUGAUGCGCAAAACUCCGAAUUUAGUUCCGUUUAUUGUGUUUGAAACCUUGUUUGGAAAUCUUAUUGUGUUAGAAAUUUCAAAGACUGAUUCAUUUUUUAUGAAUUUUGCCGAAUUUCCAAAAAUGGCUGAAAAACCAAGACUGGUUCAAACCUAUCCUCUUGGACCUGAAACUUUGAGUUGAAAAAUGAGUGCCUUCUGUUUAGAAUCUUGGAAAAGUGUUUUCUAGGAACUUUAAGUAGUUUGGAUCUAGUUUCCAACGGUAUAAAGUUUUUCCAUAUUUGGACGUACCGAACUUAAGAUCUGAUUUUACCAAGUUUAUCGCGCAAAGCUGAAAAUUCAUUAUUUCUUGGAAAAUGAGUUUUUGAGAACUUUUCGUUGUCUUUCGAUAUCAAUCAUCCAUUUUAAACUCAUCUUCAUGGAGGAUGCAAGUUUCUCUUGUGAAUUUAAAUUCUCACUUUUGAAUCUCGAUUUUCGAGAUAUUAAAGUUCUUUUAAGACAAUGUCUUAGUAUUGCGCAAGUGUACAUUCUUCCUUGUUUGGCAAAUAGUUUGUAAGUAUUUGUGAGUGAUAGAUAAUUAUUAUUUCUACAGGCGCUCAAGAAGAUCUUGAAGAGAAUAUCGGAGCCGACCGCUGAAGGUUUAUUUGCUCACUUACUCACUUUUUGACUUGGUAAGUGUCAAGUGUAUGGAGUGUUGCUACGUGCUUAAAUGUUCUCAUUAAUUGAAUAUUGUGAAAGUGCCGAGUCGAGUGUGUACUUAACCGCACUCAUUCUCUUUUAAGUGAAUUAUAUAUUGAAUUGUAUGAAGUGAAUUUGCUAAGUGAAUAAAGUGAAGUGUUGCAAUAGUGAAUCAUACUAUGUUUGAAUCAAUGUCGAUUGGAGUGAAUCUCAUCGACUUAUAUUGAUAAUAGUGGGGGACGCCCAAACUCAUCGGCAGACUUUGCGACUCAAGCUAGCAUGGGCUUGGUCGUGAAGCUUGGUAAGCCAUGAGAAAAAAUUGUAUAAGUUUGAUCUAUUUGACAGAUCUCACUUGGCAUACUCGAAUAGUAUCGUCUUAUAUAAAAGAAGUGCAGGCCCGGAGCAGGGGGUGUAUCGAUGAUCGGGAGUGCGAAGUAAGUGGGGUUCUAUGGACCUAUAACCUACUCGGUUGACGGAGUGUCAGCUUGUGGAGGUACUGGAUCGAGCAUUGGCAAAACAAAUGGAAUAUAGCUCCUGAGAGCUUCCGUAUCCUUAUCAAAUGUGUUUUAUUGUUAGUUGUGAACUACUUGAAUGUUAUAGCUUUAAUUCUCGUAAAAGUGGUAUCGUUAUUUGAACUAUGUGUUUUGCAUGUUUUUCUUGGCCUCACUGAGCAUUAGUUCAUCCCAUUAGAUUUGUUUUCCUUAACAGGGGCCGAAAUGGAAAGAAUUAUGGAGAAGCCGACUUGAUGCACUUUUGAUUAGGGUUUUGAAUGUAAUUGAUUAGAUGACUUUUGAAAGUUGUAUAUUUGAGGAAAGUGAUGUACCUGGUAUCUUGUAAUGUAGGAAUUGAAUACUUAUUAAGGAAGCUACUUUUCUUUGUAGUUUCGACUCUUAUUAUUGAUUGUUAUCCAUAAGUUUGAGUUCGUCUUGUAGUGAGUCCUGGCGAGAGUUAGGCAAGCGUCCCGCCGAUACCUUUGGGUUCGCCCUUAGGAGAAGUGGGGGCGUCACAGUUUAUUAUUAGUCGAAAUGCAAGGUGCUAGGUUUGGAUAAUAUAAGAAGUUUUGUACGGAACUAGUUCUAGGCUUGACAAUGAUGUCUCACCUAAAGAGCUGCUAUUAUAAUUAAUUUCAUCCAUAUUCCACCUAAAUGCAGUGUUUCAAAGGUAACCCAUGGAACCAUAUAAUACAAAUUAAACCUUGUCAAAUCUCUUAGGCCUGCAAAUUAUGUUGAUUUAGUAGACCCAUUGAUAAUUACCUCCUCCUUGGUCACAUUAAAAAAAAAAAGCAAGUUUUAUCGCUUCGAAAUUUUAAAAUUGACUUAUGAUUAAGGGUCUAUCAGCUACUGUCUUCGAAAAUGGUUCAUCACCUGCACUUCAUAAUGUUAUCCAAAUUUUAGAUUAUCCUCAAAUAUUUAUUGAAAUUAUACUGGCCUUGCUACAUAGACGGAAGCAUAACAAUUACUUUGAUUAAAAAAAAUUGUAUAUAUAUAUAUAUAUAUAUAACUUUUUAUCAUUAAAUUUGAUAAAUUUUUUUGGAGGCAAAAGUUAACAUUUAUGCUUUCAAAUCUUUAAUGAGGGAAAACUAAUAUUUCUAGGCUUUAGAGAGUCGAUGACUAGAGGAAUGGCAAUGAGGUGGAUAUGAGGCUAGGAAACACUCACCCGUCUCCCUCCUUGUGCUUUAAAAAUUUCUUCUGGCUUUAGUGCUAUCCCCCCACUUCUCUUACCCCCACUCCCAUCCGUCUACCCAACCAGGGUGCCCUGAUGGGUGGUUCAGUUCAAAACAAAAUUUUAUUUUUUAUUUUGAUCUUAUGUUUUCAUAUAUAAUAUUAACAAAUACCUUUAUAAAUCAAUCUUUUGGACUUUUAACUAAUAUUCAACGUUACAUUAUGUUUAAAAUCUACUUUAAUCUUUUAAAAACAUUUCUCCGUAUUUGUUAGCAAAUCUAAACUAACAGCUGUUACUAUUAUUGUUACAAAAUUAUAAAUAAUAUAAUAUGUACAUAGAUAUUGGCAAAUAUAGCUGCAUAUUAAUUAAUUUAUUUAAUUUAUAGGCAAGGAUGGCGCGGGGAUGGUAGCCACGUGGUGGGGGGAGAAAAGUCCCCACCACCCCACUCCUGCCCCCACAGCUCUCUUCACUCCAUUUCUCUCCCCAAAGGAUGGGCAUCCAUUCCUAUCAUGACCACUCCCUACCUCUUAAUUCUCAUGCCAUUGGAUGGGCCAAUUUAGAGGGAAAGUGAAUAAAGUUGGUAUCUAUCUGCCCUAUGGUUUAAGUCGUUAUGGAAAGGAGGUGACCUCUUAAUUCUCAUGUCAUUUCCAGCUUUGAGUGAUGAAACCAGGAAGAUGAAAAUUCUAGACAAAUUGUCGUGUCUCAAUGAAUGAACUCGAAGAUGGAUCAUGCAACGGCGUGAUUCUUGGUAUGUUAUUGUCCAAUUAGCAAAUUUUGAAAAAUCAUUGAUGGUUGAAAGUCAAGUAACAAGAGGUUUAAAACUUUUCGGAUUCUUCUAUUCACGGAACAUAAUAAAAGAUAGGUGCACUCUUCAAUUAUGCAUGCCACCGUAUGUUUCAUUAAUCAACAUUAUUGUUUAUUAUUAAUCGAAUGCAACAUUCUAUAUUUGGAUUAUAAAAGAAGUUGUAUACGGAACUAGAUUAUAGGCUGACAAUGAUGUCUUAUCUAAUUAAAAAGGUGCUAUUCCAAUUAAUUUCAUCCAUAUUUCACCUACACGCACUGUUUUAAGGGUGGCCUAUGGUACCGAACUAGGUAUGUCAAUGGAUCGGAUUUUAUCCAAAUCAAAUCCAAACCCAGUAUAUCUGAGUAGGGUUUAGGUUUAAUUUAUUAACCCAGACCCUAACCAAAUCUAGAUCCCGCAAAAGAAUCAUGAAUUUGGGUGGAGUAUGGUUUUCUAUGAUUUAAAUCCAAAUUCAAAUCCAAAUUAGACCCUACAAAUACCCAUGCAAUGUUCUAUGUGUGUGUAUGUAUCAGUAAAUUCGGAAAAUAACCUAAUAUUCUAUGUCAUUAUAAUUAGUACAAACAUUUUCAAGAAAAAAUGAAAAAAUGAAAGCAAAUAAAUAAAAGAUUGAAUAUAGACACAGUUGAAACUUUGAAAACAAAUAGUUUUAGUUGAUAAUAAUUCUUUCUUUGAGUUCAUAAUAUUGUGUUCAACAUCAUGAAUGUUGAUUUUAUUAUUUCAAAAUAAAAAUUCGAUGAUAUUUAUGUUAUUUUUUAACUCUAUAUAUUUUCAAAAUAUUUUUACUUUGGUUCUUCAUUGUAUGUUCAAAAAAGUAUUCACGAAUACCCGUUGAAUACCUAAACCUAUGAGGGUUCGGGUUUGAGUUUACUUUUUCAAACCCAUAAGGGGUUGGGUAUGAGUUUGGGUCUAACUAAAUUUAAUAAGUAUGAAUGUAGAUCAAAGAGAUCUAAAUCAAACCCUAUCCAUUAAAAUACCUAUAAAAUACCUAUCCUAUACAAUAUAAGUUACACCUUGUCAAAUCCCUUGGGCCCACAAAUUAUGUUGACUUGGUAAACCCCUGGAUAAUUACCUCCAUUUUAUAUAUAUAUAAAAUAUCAUAGUUUUAUUAAAAUUUGCAUUAAUGAUAGAAAUUACAUCAUUAAACAUAUACAGAUAUCAAAAAACAGGAUAAUAUGGAGAGCUCUAUCGAAUAGAUCCAAAAAAUUCCAAAUCUGAUAAUCAAAAUCUAAAAAAACUCAACUUGGGCACAUGAAGAAAGCAAGUUUUGUCGUUCCAAACUUCAAAAUUGACUUUUAAGAGUCUACUAGCUAUUGUCCUUGAAAAUGGUUCAUCACCUUCACUUCAUGAUGUUUAUCCAAAUUUUAGAUUAUCCUUAAAUUUUUUAUUGAAAUUAUACAGGUCUUGCUAUGUUAUCUAUGUAGAAGGAAGCAUAACAAUUACUUUGAUCGAAAAACAGUAUAUACAAAUAACAUUUAAUUUUAUAAUAAUAUUUUAUAGAACUUUUUUUGGAGGUAGAAGUUAACAUUUACUUCAAAACUUAUGUGAGGGAAAACUAAAAUUUCUAGGUUUUAAAGAGUUGGUGACUAGGAAUGACAACGAGAUGGAUUUGGAAUUAGAGAACCCUCUCCCGUCUCCCCUCCUGUGCCCUAAACUAUUCCCCCUGCCCCCACCCCACUACCCAAUAAGGGUGCCCCAUUGGGUGGUUCAAAUUAAACUUCUAUUUUUCAUAAUUUUUCAUAUAUAAUAUCAACAAAUAACUGUAUAAAUCAAUCUUUUGAACUUUUAACUAAAAUUCAACAUGAAAUUAAGUUUAAAAUAUACUUUAAUCUUUUAAAAAUAUUUCUCCAUAUUUAUUAGCAUAACUAAAGUAAUAUCUGCUACUAUUAUUAUCUUAUUGCAAACAUGCAAUACACAAAAAAAAAAUUCAGUAAACUAAAAAUAACAAAAUCAUCAUUUUACCACACAAAUCAUGAUAUCAUGAGUUUUCAAAUUAUAAUGUAUAUGUCUGUAUGUGUAUGUGUGUAUGUCUAUAUAUAUAUAGAGGUGGGGAUAGUACCAAUACACAUCCCCACCACCCCUACUAUAUAUAAUAUGUACAUAGAUAUUGACAAAUAUUUACGUAUUAAUUAAUUUAUUUAAUUUAUAGGUGGGGAUAGUACUGAGACAAAUUCCCGCAACCCCUACUCCCACUCCGCAUUUCUCUCUGCCCCAUUUCUAUCCCUAUGGGGCGGGCAUACUUACCGAUCGUGACCCCUCUCCAUCUCUUAAUCCCCGUGCCAUUAGAAGGGCCAAUUUAGAAUGAAAGUGAAUAAAGUUGGCAUCUAUGGCGCCCUAUGGUUAGGUGACCUAUAGCAUCGAAUGGUUUCAUUUCUAGCUUUGAAUAAUGAAACCAUGAAGAUGAAGUCUCAAGGACCAAUUGUCGUGCCUCAGUCAAUCACCUCGAUGAUGGAUCACGCAACGGAGUGAUACUUGGUAUAUAAUUGUCUAAUCAGCAAAUCUUUGCAAAUCAUUGAUGGUUGAGAUGUUGUCAAGUAACAAGGUUUAAAACUUUAAGAAUUGUUCUACGGGAUAAUUGCAAAAACCUCCCCUGAAAUUUCUGACAUUUGCACUGACCUCCCCUAUCAAUUUUGAAAUUGUAUUAACCUCCCCUAGAAAAAGUUGGAACUAAUUUAAAAGGUAAAAGUGUAUGAAAUUACUAGAGUACCCCUAUUGGAUUUGACUUUACUGGAUGAAAGGUUUGAGUACUUUCAUCAAAACCAACGUUUAAUUUGUUAAACAAAUUAAACUAAUCAAACUAUUUCUGCAUAGUUAAAUUAAUUAACUAAUUAACUAAUUAACUAAUUUCUAUUUUAUCUAAUUAACUAAUUAACUAAUCAAACUAUUUCUCAUAGUUAAAAUAAUAACUAAUUAUCUAAUUGUUAACAGUUAUUAACUAGUCAAACUAUUUCUGCAUAGUUAAACUAAUUAACUAUUAACUAAUUAUUUAAUUAAUUAAUUAACUAAUUAACUAAUUUCUAUUUAUCUAAUUAACUAAUUAAAUAAUUAUCUAAUUAACUAAAGCUGUUGUCUGUCCGAAACUAACAAACUAUUUGCAUGUUAAACUAAUUAACUAAUUAACUACUUAACUAAUUAACUAACUAAUUAUCUAAUUAAUUAAUUAACUAAUUUUUGUUUAUCUAAUUAACUAAUUGUCUAAUUAUCUAAUUAACUAAAGCUGUUGUCUAUCCAAAACUAAUAAACUAUUUGCAUGUUAAACUAAUUAACUAAUUAACUGCUUAACUAAUUAACUAACUAAUUAUCUAAUUAAUUAAUUAACUAAUUAACUAAUUUCUAUUUAUCUAAUUUACUAAUUAUUUAAUUAACUAAUUAACUAAACUGUUGUUUGUCUGAAACUAACAAACUAUUUGCAUGUUAAACUAAUUAAGUAAUUAACUGCUUAACUAAUUAACAGACUAUUUGCAUGUUAAACUAUAUGCAGUACGCAUUACCUAUUUAAAGUAUCGGCUCUUUAUGGAUAUUUUACUUUCAAACAUUUAAUUUAUGAUAAAAAUAUCAAUAUUUGUAAGUAAAAUUCAAAAAUGCUACAAAAAAUAUCAAUAUUCUUACUUUCAAAUAUUUAAUUUAUGGCCCUAUGCCCCUCCCUUUUUGUAAGAAUAUUACUGUAACACUUUUUGAAUUUUACUUACAAACAUUGAUGUUUUUAUUAUAAAUUAAAUGUUUGAAAGUAAAAUACCCAUAAAGAGUCGAUACUUUAAAUAGGUAAUGCGUACUGCAUAUAGUUUAACAUGUAAAUAGUCUGUUAAUCAAUUAGUUAGUUAAUUAGUUAAUUAGUUAAGCAGUUAAUUAGUUUAACAUGCGAAUAGUUUGUUAGUUUCAGACAGACAACAGCUUUAGUUAAUUAGUAAAUUAGAUAAAUAGAAAUUAGUUAAUUAGUUAAUUAAUUAAUUCGAUAAUUAGUUAAUAGUUAAUAGUUAAUUAGAUAAUUAGUUAAUAGUUAAUUAGCUUAACUAUUAGAUAAUUAGUUAAGCAAUUGUCAAGCAAAUAAUAAUCGUCAAGCAAGAUGAGGGCAAAAUUGGAAGAAAAUUUUUAUCUCAUUUCUACAAAUAAUUUUUUAAUGGGACAUCAAGCUGUCAAGGAGGUUUCUGCAACGAAUUGUUACUGUUCAGGGGAGGUGAAUGCAAUUUCUAAACCUAGAGGGGAGGUCAGUGCAAAUGUCAGAAAUCUCAGGGGAGGUUUCUGCAAUUAUCCCUUGUUCUAUUCAGGACACACGAUAGAAGAUGGAUCUAUUUUUCACUUAUUUGAACAAGAUUUUAUAAUUCAAUAAAUAAAUAAUAAUAAUUGAAAUUUAUAGCGAGUCCAUCCUUUCUAUUUUAUAUGCUUUUUCUGGGCUAUACUUUUAAGGACAUAAUAGAAAAACCCAAAAUUUGAAUUUAAUACAAAGAGUACUUAUGGAAUAGCAAUAUAUUCAAAGAUUUAUAAUUAUGCCUAAAAUAAGUACUAGAGGUAAAAGGUAAAAUAGCAAAGAGUUUUUUUUUUUUUUUUUGGGUUCCCCUUAUCAACAUCUGGCAUAAGAGUGACUUCUAAUAUGUCGUUGAUAGCACAUACAAUUACUCAUCAUUCUCUUUCAUAUUUAAAAAUAGAUUAAUUUUCUAUACAUUAAUAAUGUAUACAGUAUUAAAUCUGAAUGCAUACUAUUUGUUUCAAAUUUUGAAUUUUAAAUUUAAAUUAAUAUUAAUUGUUAUGCAUUCGAAUCUAAUAGCAUACACAGUUUAUAAAGGAUUAAUUCUUAAACAAUUAUACAUAUUGUGAUGAAUGAAAGUUGGGGGAGGCGAUGAAGAGGGGGCACCAUAUCAACAGUGUACAUAAGUUUCAAAGAGAAAAAGCAUAGAGGGACUAAGACCCUAAAAGUCUUCGCUUUGGGUCCUCAUUGCGUCAAUGAAUGAUUUCCCAUCUAGUUCACGGGAAAAAAACGCUUUUAAAUAGUCAAUCGUACUAAUUCUUCUGAAAAUUGCUGGAUUUUCAGGGGGGGUAAGACUUGGCGCUGGACCCAUGUCACCAUCCACUUUUGGGAAAAAGAACGCUGCAAUGGAAAGCCUUUCAUUGUGCAAAUUCACAGUUGCCCGAUGCUCAACACUCUUGUAAAUCCCAUUUGUCACAAUCUGCAUCUCAGUUCAAAAACGUCACAUUGUUCCCAACUGUGUACUAUGUAGCAUACAUUCUUAUAAAAGUUCAAUUAGGCUCAAUAAUAGGAUAUGGUUAACAGGGUAAUCUUAUGAGUCCACCCAUAACUACUGUUAUGCCCCAAAAACACUGGAGAUAGAAUUCAUAAGCUAUACCCUGAUAGAUCCAGGACAUGAUUUGUAAGUAACUUGUGUAAUUAGCAUUGAAAUCAAGAAAAAAAGUAAAUUCCUUUCUGAAAAUCAAAACAAACUUGUUGGAAAAAAAAUUAGUACUUUUUUCAAGAUGUUGAAAGGAAAGCAAUUUGAAUUUCAUAUGCCACCACUUGUACAUCACAGGUAAGCAAUGAUUUGAAGGGUGGGGUGGAAGAGCAUGUACAAUACUAAUAUUUGAAUUUAUUGUGCCCAAGAUUUACAUUCUUCAGAAAUAUUUCUCGAAUAAUUAAGUAAUUAAUCAAUUACGUUGGUUACUAAUAUGAAUAAAACUACUUUUUCAAUAUAAAGACCUUUUCAUCCAUAUAUUUUAUGCUUUUUUUUUACUUUAUAAAGAUACGUGUUCCAUUAAAGUGCUCAAUAUUCUAUCAAUAAACAACAUUAGUUUAACUCUGACAAAGUAGCCAAAGUUAGAAGUUAGGCACAAAUUUGUCAAAAGUUAAAUUUUGGGAUGAAAGCCACACUUUGUCCUGGCCUCAUUUUCUAGGCGGUGCAAGUUGAUAAUUAGUCUUACAUCAACCUAGUGUGGGCAUACUAAUCAUAAUCGGAAAGAUCAACCUACUGUAGGCAUAAUAAUCAUAAUCGGAAAGAUUAUCUCUUGAAUCCUAUUAAAAUAUGGGAAGGACAUUCUAAUUUCCAUAUAUGUUCAUAAUUGUAGAAACCAAUUUGAAAAUAUCACAUAAGGGAGCCCAAAAACUAGAUAGAUGUUGUAAUUAUAUAAACAGAAAAGUAAUAUGAAGAGAUUGUUCAUACUCACAUUCCAUCUUUGGAGAAAGGAUUUUGAGCAUGAUUACCUCUAAAAUGUCUCCAACAUUGACUGUGAAUGCAUUAGGAAGUGGUACAACAGGAACCCAAGCUCCAGCCUUUUUGAUUUGGAGGCCUUCCACUUCGUUGACUUGAAGUAAUAUAGUAAGCCCAUCAGCAUCAGAGUGGGGGCAAAGGCCCAUCACUAGCUCAGGUUGGGGACAUGGAGGAUAAUAGUUCAUCCUCAUUGUUUGCAUCCCAUCUUCAAAAAGCAUUGUCAUAUCUUCAAGCUUCAUUCCUAAUGCUUUUGUCAUUUGCUCAAGGACCUUGAUGG
rnacentral:lncRNA from 1 species